GAGUUCUCAUGGUAUAAGUAUAUAUUGGUGCCUAUCCACUAUAUGUCUAAAUAGGUGGAACCUAUUCCACUUCCUAAUAAUGAAGGUUGAAUUGUCAUAGUAUUUUUGAAGAAGAAUAUUUUCUCUCAGUUUAGUAAUCCAUGGGCAACCAUCAGUGAUAGUGGGUCCCAUUUUUGCAACUGUCUAUCCAAACCCUUAUUUGUGAAAUAUGGUGUGAAACAUAAGGUAUAAACACCUUACCGUCCAUAGAUAAGUGAAUAGGUUAAUGUCUCCAGUCAUGAGAUCAAUUCCAUUUCGGAAAAAAAUUUAAAUUUCAACCAAAUUGACUAGUCAGGAAAGCUAGAUGAUUUACUUUGGGCAUACCAGACAACUUUUAAGACCCUCAUAGGUGCCUCACCAUACUAGAUUGUUUAAAGAAAGGCAUGCCACUUACCAUUUGAACUUAAGCAUAAGGCAUUAUGGCCAUUUAAGAAGAAGAACAUUGGGUGGAGUAAUGUCGUGCACUUAAGGUUGGAUAAGAUGAAUGGGUUAGAUGAGUUCUGAUUCCAUGCACAUGAAAGUUCAGUCUUGUAUAAAAAAGAGAUAAAAUUGUACCAUGAUAAGAAAAUUAAGAAAAAGGUAUUCCAACUCAGUGAUGUGGUCAUGUUGUAUAAUUCAAGACUUUGUUUGUUUUUUUGAAGCUAAAGUCUAGGUGUUCCAGACCAUUCAUAAGGGUUAUAGUAUUUCCACAUGGUGCAAUUGAGCUAAAACGAGAUGGAGAUUCCAUAUUCUAGGUGAACGUGCAUCGUGUUAAACAUUACAUAGAAAUCAUAGAGAAGUUGAAAGUUUGUGAGAAUGGUAUCAAACUAUUAAUCUCCCAAUAAAAGGUUUAAAAGGAAAAUCUACCCCACCAUCCCACACUUGCACGUAUUACACUCAAAAUUUGAGGCUAAACCAUUUCUUCAUCUUUUAAUUCUACAAUCUUCACUCAAUAUAAGGUUUUCAUGGUUCAAAUAACCUUUGCAUACACUUAAUAGUAGAAGUAGAAGUUGAAUAAUUUGAAUAAUGUGUGAAAUACCUAUGGAACUUAACUUGAUGUAUGUUAUUGAGAUCAAAUUCUGAUUGGAAAUUGAAAAUUUAUCUAUGUUGGAUGAAAUUUUGCAAAGAUAUUAAGAACCCCUUAGAUUGAACCCAUGAAACAUACCUAUGAGCAUGUAAGUUGAACUUACAAGUUCGUAGAUAGCCAUGUAGGUGCAAGACCUAAAUUACUGAGAUUUAGAGUCUUUUCCUUAUACCUAUAAGGCUACCUAUGGCCCUAUAAGUACUACCUACAGCAACAUACAUACUACCUAGGGCUCGUAGGUAGGGGUUAUAGGUAGCAUCUGAGUCGAGGUCUUAAUUUUCUUCCUAUAUUAUACUCUAUUAUUAUGUUUAAAUUAUUGACAACUCUUUUUACUAGUACUAUGGUACCCAAGGCUACACAAAAUAUGGGAGUGUAGUCUAGUCUGAGAGAUAAGUCUCCCGAAUAAAGCGGAUCCAUAGAGGAGUAUCCAAUUGAUAAUAUACCCUUAUCUCCAUACUAUACUAGGGGUUAGGAUUAGAGAUAGGAAGUAAUCAGGGAUGCUAUUAAGUAUGUCUCUCUACCCACGCUAGCACAGGCACCUUAGUCUGGCCCCCAAACUUCUCCACAUUAUUUUAUUAAGACUGUAACUCAGAUAAAGUUAGCCAUGACUUCACCACCACACUCUUUGGUCCCUUUCUAGUAUGAUGAGAGAAUAUAAGUCCAGUUCUAGUUUAUUUUAGAAGGAGUCAACUGAACCCCUACUUAAGGAGUAUUCAAUAUAAGUGCUUAUGAAAUAGAGGCAUCCCAAUCUAAUGAAGGUUUUGAUAUAUUUUAGGGUAAUCAAGAUACUUCUAGUUCAUCACAAGGCAGUCAAAGUUCUCUACUUCAACUUUAUCCGAUCAGGAGUCCAUACACAUCUCUACAACACUAUUUUCUUAGUCCAUUAUAAGAUGCUAAGUGGAGGGCAUACGGAACAUCUUGUUGAGAAGAACUGAAUUGGGAUUACUUCUUUGGCGAGUAUUCCAGACCUAAAGACUACUUUUUAUAGGUUUAAACUUAGGUAGAUAGCUCAACCUUCAGGUUUCUAUUUCUCAGAGAUUGUUCAAGAGUCUUAUACUUCUUUUACGAUAUUUAUGUACUUAAUUACACCAAUUGAGGAUAGAGGAAUGGACCAAAACCCACUGAAUUUUACACUAGUUAGAGAAUUUAGGGUUGAUCUAUCUGAGGAUACCCUUCAAUGAUUCUUAUUUAGGCCAGAGUUUGUGGGUCAAUCAUCACAACAGAGUUUGAUUAUCGAUUAAUACUCGUAAAAAGCAGGUUCACCAUGAGUGAUAUUGAUCAGAGAUCACAUAUGAUUAACUUGGCUAGAUGGGUAGCUGAGCAAAUUGUUUAGUUGGGUACUGAUGCCCCUUAGGUUGAAAGUAAGUAGGAGAUAAAGAAGGUGUCAUUGUAUUUUACAAUAAAGUUUUGUUGGACUAUUAUAAGACACCAUUUGGGUAUGAUAUUUGCAGAUAAUGUUCUUAUAUGGGAUCGAGCUGUAUUGAAUUCUAGCCUUCUAGCUAGAUAUUAUAUUGACUUUGCUAAGUGAAUUCGAGUUGAGAUUCACAAUAGGGCAUUCCCCAAGUUAACCACCCUUCCCUUUCAUUAUCUAGUGUAGAGAUUAUGCGAUGUGGUAGGAGUGCCAGCUAUUCAUGAGGUUUAUCAGAGGGUCAAGGCUAUCCACAUGGUAGAUAUUGUUUUAAUUAAGGAUGAUGCCAACCCCAUUUCACUAUAUAGAUCAAAACCUUUAAUAUCUUUCUAGGUGGCCUACUUUAAGGGGCCUUUUAUUUUAUCCAAGCAUGUGGAGAGGCUGAUAUUGGGUGGUGAUAUAGAUAUAGGUAGUCAGAGUUUAGAGCCUACAACUAAUCCAAGAAGUGAGGGGGCUAUAGUCAAUUCAGCUCAAGUUUUUACUUCUAUGUUGCCUCCCCAUUCGCUAGUUUUAGGUUUAAUUAGUUUUCCUUAGGAGUUUUUACAGUAGUUAGUUGACCAAAAGAAAGAGUUAGACGAUCACCAGAAACAGACCGAGACCCACUUGGUGAGAUUAUUUAGUUAGAUUCAUCCAUGGGUGUGGACUAAUUUAGAGGCUUCUAAGGUGAGAGUUGUGGCUAGGAUGAUGGCCGCCAUCUAGUGCUUCAUGAAAGUGCUACACGGGUGUAUUGAUAGUCUUGAGGCUUGACUAGGAGCACAACUUUGUAAGGCUCAGGACCCUAACUUAUCGGGCUUAUGCGAGGAAGUGGCUAUGUUAUGAUCUAAGGUGUUCUCAUUAGUGGCGAGGCAUAUUCUAAUUUUCCCUCCAUCGAUUCCUUCUUUCUUGCAUCCAAUACCCUAAUAGACACCAUUAAAUUUUUUCCUUUAUGCUAAGGAUGAUAAGGCCCAAAUUAUUGGGGCCAAGAGAGGACAUGAGGAGAAGGAGUUAGAUAACUCUUAGGAGUUUUAGUGGUCCUUGAAAAAGGCCACCAUGGAGUUUGUCCAACAAUAAAAGAUCGGUGAGGAUAGGCUUGCACAGCAUGCAUAGGGUGCUUUUUAUAGUUGAACACCUCCACCACCUUCUGGCGAUGAGCCACAAGAUGCUCUAGAUGGGAGCGAGCCCAUUUCUAACUCUUAAAGCAUCACAGGUAGUUCCCCACACCCUUUUGUUUGUUAUUUUCGAGUAUGUAGUGGGGACAACACAUCAACUUCAUAUUGGGUGGGGGUGAACCAAACCUGCCAAGGCUUUUGUUAUCGUGUCUCAUUUUCUAGGAUGUGUUAUCAAAGUAGAGAUGACAUAUUUAGGUAUUGUGUUGUGUUGUUAUAUGUGUUAGGAGUUGUUUUUGUUUGAUUAUAUAAAAAUAAGAAACCUAAGUGCAGUCAACAUGUUUCGAUUUCUAUUGUUAAAUGUUUAAAAAAUAUAAUACCCCCCACAAAAAUUGUGUGACAUCUGUGUUGUUUAUAUAUGUGUGACCAUUGCUGAAUCUUGUUAUGGCAUUAGUAUUUAGGACAAAAUAAUCAAAGCUUAGCAUUGCAUAAAUCAGAUAGGUUUUAGUAGAUAAUAUAGCCCUGUACCAUGUGUCUGAGGAAUUUUCCUAGUUCACUUUAUGCAUUUAAUCCAGAACUUGCAUGAUUGGUCUUACCCUAGGUUAUAGGAUAGUUGGUAUAUGAUCAUAGGUCAUUUUUUGAAUAAGUCCUAUUAGCCCAAAAGACCGACGAGAUAAGAAUAAGCAUCCAUCGAGCACUUAUUUGAGCCUAAAUGACCUAUUUUAUUAUUUUAACCCUUAUUUGAGCCUAAGUGACCUAUUUUCUUAUUUUAACCAUUUCAACUUCCCAUUUAAUUAAAAUGAACCAUUCUUUGCCUUGGUCUGUCCUUGGAAGCUAUGUACCUCAACUCAGGAAAAUUGUCUAAGCUGAGAGUGACUAUCAUAAGGGUGCGUAGUUGAAAUAGGUAUGAAUAAUAUAGAAGAAUAUCGGGAUGGGUGUGGUUAAAAAAUAAAAAAAUAAAAGAAAAAAUAAAGAAAAUAAAAAGAGAGAAAGAAAAAUAAAAAAGUGUAUAAAUGAAAAGAAUGAAGGGAACCGCACCCAAUCCAAAUAAGCAAUGAAGGAGAAAAAGGGAGAAACAAAAGAAGCAUGGCUAAGUAGUGGAACCAUAAUUCAAGUGUUGUGUAAAGAAGGGUGAGUCACUAUAUUCCAUAUGUACCAUACUUACUCCCAAGCCUACAUAAAAAGCAUAUAAAAGUCCUAUAGUGAUCCUAAUCCAAUUGUCCGAAAAACUAAAAUGUAGAAAAUAAGGCAAGCCUAUGGUAUUCUAUGCAUAUUGUUUGAACUUCUUUUGAGAGUGUGAGUGUAUUUAUAUAGCCCCUUGUAAUUUACAUGCAUAAUGAUACUGUGAGAGUUGGGACUUCCUUAAAGUAAGGGUACAUGGGGUGUGUUGUUAACCACUUAUUUGCUUAGGUAGUGUUAGCUGCAUAUAUGCUUGCUUAUUUGUUUCUAACUUAAUUCCAACACUUGAUUCCUUUUGUGUCAUAUUGUUGUACUAUAUAGACCUACACAAUGGUUUUGAAAGAUAUAAAUAGAAGGGGGUGAGAAAUUCGAGCUAAACUAAAUUGACUGUCGUAAGUAGCUUAGGUGUCUUUUGGUUAAGCAUCACAUUUUCCUAUUAUGUGUUAUUUUCUUGAGGACAUGCAAAAGUUCUAAGUUGAGGGUGUUGUUGUGUUAUGAUUUCUUUGCACUUUCAAUGCUUAAAAUAAGGAAAUUAUGCAAGUAAUUAUGUAUUUUUGUUAGAUGUGAUUGUUUUUUGUUGUUUUUUUAGGAAAACCAAGUUCAGAGUAGAGAAUGAGCAAAAAGGAUGAAGAAAAUCUAAGGAUGUAACCUAUGAUCCUACCAACGGGCCGUAGAUAGUACCUAUGGGCUCGUAGGUUGGCUCCAUGAGUUGUGUUCCUAAAGUUCUAAAAUUUAUUGUUUUGUCUGAUUCCUUCAAAGAUUCCCAAUAAGGUGUAAGUACUACCUAUAGUCCAUAGUCCCUCGUAGGUAGUUGUUUUGAAGCUUGAAGAUUCCUCUGAUUCGAAUGAACCUACUUAUGCCCCGUAGGUACUACCUACAACCCAUAAAUGGGGUCGUAGGGUGGUGUUGACUCUAAAUUCCUAAUUUGUUUAGGAUAAGUUUUCUGGUGUAUCUAUAAUUAUCCAUUGGAUGUUUUAUUAUUAGGUUACGCACUUUAUACACUUAUUACAUUUCUUGGAGUUCUAAGAUACACUUUUGAUCUUAGAAACAUUAUUCUAGCUUUUUAGGGUUUGAUAUUAAUUUGAGAUUUUGGUUUUCAUUCUUAUUAUUUGUAAGUUCAUUCAUAUGCUUUCAUCUAUGAAUUUUAUGUGUGUUCUUACAAUCAUGUGCAGCUAAAGGCCAUAACACGAGUUGUGGGAACCCUGAUGGAUUAACAAAGUAGAGAAAAUGCAAAGUCAUUUUAAAUUGGUAUUCUUGCAUGAAUUGUGGUUUCCUUCACUUUGAUUGUUCUUCUAAUAGUUGAAAAUGUUACUAACAUAACUGUAUAUGAUAAUAACUCAAGAGAAAGGUUGAGAUUGGGAAAAGGAGAUGCAACAGUAAUGUUAAGCUACCAACCUUCAUCUAAUUAACUUGACACUGAGAGGAGGUAGUUAAUCUAAGAUACAGAACAAGGGUUAUUAAUGCGACACUCUAAGAUCAAGAGAAUAUGAGUAAAAUUCACCUAAGCCAAGGUCGAGAUAUAGUUUGCUGAUACAUAACUUGCUAGAUUUUAAAUGCAAGGAUCUGAGAUUGUUUGAUAAGCAUGAUAUGUUUAUGAGUGGCAAAUUUAACACUCGUUGACAUCCAAAUUCAUGCACUACUAUGGCUAAAAUUGUUUACAUGAGACAAAUUCUCCAUUGGAAUAUACUAAUUGCUAUUUUUUGUUAUCGUUUUGGACCUAUGAUGAAAAUGAAUGAAAAUCAAGCUAAAAGGAAAGGAAAAUGGGCAAAAAAAACAAAGGUUGGAGAAUAAGAGGCCCUCAAGUAUUGAGAUUGCAAUCCUCAAAGUCGUAAUCAGAUUCAAUCAACCAGGGAUCAAAAUAUCACACUCGGGUAAAUGAUGCAGUAAUAUGUUACGCAGUCAUGGAAGUACGGUUGCAAUGGAGCAGCUACAUGUCCAGGGGUAGUUUUGUCAAUUUGCAAAGUUUAAUCCCAAAUCAUAAAAAGCUCAAACCCUUUGUACCGUGUAUCUAAGAAAUAGAUUUCAAUUUUUGUAGAAAAAACACUCAAAUUUUGGGAGAAAGUAAUUGUUAUUGAUUUUCCAAGAGAUUUUUUUAGUUGCAAUUUGAGAAUUAAACUUGGUAUUAUUCUUUCUUUGUGUCUUCUAUAGAGGCAUUAAAUUCCUAUUUGGGUAUAUCUCCUUUCUUCAAUUUCAUGAGUUACUAAAUAUUUAGAUUGGUGUUAUGCUUUAAUGGGUUUUAAUAUGUAAGGGUGUUGAUUGUUAGUUCAACUCAUUAGUUAUUGGUGUUGGGUUUUUCUAUUACUCUUUUAUUUGAUUGAUAAUUGUGGAUGAAAACACCAAUUGAUUUAGGUCUCAUAUCAUUCUUAAAAGAGGGAUAUGAGUGAUGAGUAGUAGUGAACACUUAUUUGAUACCGGUUAUUUCCUUACCAUUAUCUUAGAAAUAAGGAUAUUUUGUGGUGUAUCUAGAUUUUUUUGAUAUCAUCCUAGAAAUAGGGAUGUUCAAUUGAUUUGUGGAUUGGUAAAAUUGGCACACACAUGAGGUAUUUGAAAUAAUCCAUGAGUGCAACUUGGUGUGUUGUUGAGAAGCUCAUAUUAAGAGUUAAAAAUCUGACCUACCCAAACCUUUGACUAAUAUGGACUAACCCUCAAUUUCCCAUACAUGAAUGACCCCUAGUAUAAGAUUAACCCCAAGACUCUUUUCUUAUUGGAUUUUAAUCUACAAUUUUUUUCUCUCAAUUAGUGCCACAAGUUAAUUUUGUCUAAACAACGUUUUAAAUCAUACCCCCACUUUAAUUUAUAUUUUUCUUUAAGUCUAGAGUGUGGGUCAACACCUAGUGACUUUCAACGCGCAUAUGCCUUGAAAUCCAGAUUACACUCCUCAUGCAUUCGGCCCCAUCUUAAGAUGGGUUAUUAUAUUGACAACGAUUGCCUUGCACCAAAAUAAUGGUGUAAUUUGAGUGUUAUAAAAAAUAUUGUUGGUGCUAGGGAGUGAAACUUAGUUUUUUCUCGUGUGGUGUUGUUAGUAACUUUGGGUUUAUCCUUAGUGUCGCACUUUACUUUAGUUGUUAUUUAUGGUAUUUUGAAUAGGUAACAUCCAAAUAACUAUGAGUUGAGAGGGUAUCAACAACAACUCAUCAUAUAAAUAUGUGGAGGUUAUGAAUAACCUUGGUAAUGAGGAACAUGCUGGUUCCAUCCAGAUUCCACCUACUGAGGGAAAUGUACAAUUUUAUAUCAUAAGUGUGAUUCUCCACUUGCUCUAUAUGAAAGGGUUGUUUGGGUGAAAGUCAUAUAAAAAUGCCAAUUUUCAUUUGAAGAACUUUAUUGAAGUAUGCUCUCCAUUUGAUGUCGCCAAUAUCUCCUAAGAGUCUAUUUGGUUGAGGCUUUUCCUAUUCUUUUUAACAGAUGAAGUAGUUUGUGUUUGAGAUCUCUACUCGUCGGUCUAUCAUUUCUUGAGUCGAGCUUAAGUAUACUUUUUUGGAUCAAUAUUUCCUUCUUUAAAAAAUGUUGAAAUUAAAGGACGAAAUCACAAAUCUUAGUUAAUAAAUUGGUGAGCCUUUAUAUGAAGUAUGGGAAAGGUUCAAGGAUAAAAUCAUGCAAUGCCCAAACCACGAAGUUCCUUGGAAAAUGAUUCUCCAAAUACUUUAUCAAGCGUUAGAUCAAUUGGAUAGAACUGUGGUUGACAAUGCAUUCGAAGGCUCCCUUAUCAAGUUGCCUUACAAAGUUGCAUCACGUGUGCUAGAUCAAGUGGCUAUAUUAGCUAGAGGUUGGAACAUAGAGGAUGCCGAGAUAGUCGUAGGGGAUCCCUCUGCAUUUUUUGGGGGUCAAUAUCAAAGGGAAAAAAAGGAGGAAAGAUAUGAAAUUAUGAGUAAGGUUAGAUCUCACCUUGAACUAAUUAAUCAACAUGUGAUUGAAACCUAUUUUGAAGGAGUCAAUGCUAUAGCUUCAAGAAAUACUAGGGUGUACGAAGAUACAGUAAGGGAAAUACUUGAGGAAUAGAUGAGAUUCUUGUCAAUAAAUUUGAUGGGUUUCCACAUUUCCCACCAAAGGCAAGGUGGGAAUCAAGGUCAAAACAAUGAGAACCAAUGCAUGUCCCUUCUUGAAAUAGAAAGAUGUGUAAAUAAAAAUAUCUUGGCCUAAAUCUUGGUAGAAGUCAAGGGGACCAACAAUAUAGUGAGGAAAAUGAGGAGUGAUUUAUCCAAGUUACAUCAAACGGUAGAGUCUCAUUCAAUCUCCAUCAAACUAUUAGAGAAAAAAUUGAACCAAAUAUCAGCAUACCUCAAUGCCAGAAAAAUAGAGAUAUGUCAAAUGGUAUGGUAAAUAAUUCUAUUUUCAUUGGAUGUGGUAAAACUCUUGGCAUAGGCAUGGACCUUUAUGAUGACCCCUAUGGGAGAGUAAAAUGAUUAGCAGGUAAAUGUGAACAGAAAAAGGCAAAAUGAUGAUGAGUUAAAGUCAAAUAAAGUUAUCAUUGAAAAUUUGAAGGUGAAAGAGCCUCAAAUUGCCUCCAUGCCACAAAUUACAAUUCGUCCCCCUUUUCCCCAAAGGCUCAAGAAAAAAGGCACAAUUAUAGGUUCAAGAAGUUUCUUGAAUAAUUUAGAAACCUAAUCAUCUACAUUGCAUUAAUAAAAGCCUUAUAAGAAAUGACGGGGUAUGAAAACUUUAUGAAAGAAUUAGUCUCCAAAAUGCAGCUUAUGGAGGGGGAAAUAAUAGAAGUGGCUUAUCAUUAUAGUGCAGUCAUGUCAAGAAAGAUGGUGGAAAGCAGGAUUACCGUGGUGCAUUCACAAUCCCUUGCACCAUCAGAAUGUUCAAAUUUAAAAAGACCUUGUGUGACACCGGGGCGAGUAUCAGUUUAAUUCCAUAUGUCGUAUUUCAUAAGGUAGGGUAGGGGAAACCAUAACAUACCACUAUUAGAUUAUUAAUGGCUAACCAUACAAACAAGAAAUCUGUGGGGAUACUACAUAAUGUUCUAGUAAAAGUUGACCAAUUCAUCUUUCUGUCCGACUCAGUGAUCCUUGAUUGUGAAAUUGACCAUGAAAUCCCUUUUAUUCUUAGAAGGAAAUUUUUAGCCAUCGGUAGGGAAUUGGUGGACGUCGCAUGCAGUAAGAUAAAAUUGUGAAUAAAUGAUGAAGAAGUUUAUUUCAAUGUAUGCAAUGCCAUGAAACAACCAAUGAACUUGCAAGUAGUCUUGGUAAUCCAUGUCAUUGAUGAUGAGAUAAUGGAGAAUGUUGAUGUGAAUGUCAUGAAUGACCCCUUAGUGGAAGUUUUGUGGAAUUUUGAAAGAGAUAAAAUCAAAGAGUUCAAUGAAGUGGUAGCCUCUUUAACGGGACUUGGAUCAUACACUAAAAAUGUGGUAAAGUUAGAUCUUGAUCUAAAAAACUAUGAGAGUCCAUCCGCUAAGACAUCCAUCCUUGAGACACAUCAACUUGAAUUGAAGUCAUUGCCUCCAGAUCUUCAGUAUGUAUUCUUGGGUAAUGAUGACACUUUGCCAAUUAUUGUUGCAAUUAAUAUCUAGUCCCACCAAGUGGAAGCCAUGAAAGUUGUAGUGAAGAAAUUUAUUUGUGCCAUCAGAUAGAUGAUUGUAGAUAUUAUAGGCAUAACUCCCGACAUUUUUUCCAUAAUAUUAAACUAGAACAAGAUCAUGUCAAAAGUGUGGAACAUCAAAGGAGGCUCAACCAAUCAAUGCAAGAGGUGGUUAAAAAGGAAAUCAUAAAGUGGCUUGAUGCGGGAGUCAUCUACCUAGUCUCAAAUAGCACGUGGGUGAGUCCGGUGAAAUAUAUCCCAAAGAAAGGUGGCAUAACAGUAGUACUAAAUGAGAAUAAUGACUUUAUUCCCAUACGCCCGAUCACGGGGUGGAGAGUGUGUAUGGACUACCACAGGUUGAACUCUUGGACUCAGAAGGACCACUUACCAAUGCCCUUUAUGGACCAAAUACUACAUUGGCCUAUCAAGUGGGGUUGGUAUUACUUUCUUAAUGACUACUCAGAGUACAACCAAAUUUACAUCACCCGUGAAUAUCAAGAAAAGAAAACUUUCACUUAUCCCUAUGUCAUGUUUGCCUUUAAGCUCAUGCCUUUUGGGUUGUGUAAUGCUCCAGAAAUAUUCCAUCAAUUUAUUCUAUCUAUCUUCAUGGAUAUGGUGUAAGAUUCGAAGGAGGUGUUCAUGGAUAACUUCUACAUUGUAGGGGAGUCAAUGGAGUUAUGCCUCGCUUACUUUAGCAAAGUGUUUAAAAGGUGUGUGGAAAGCAAUUAGUUUUUAAUUUGGAAAAAUGCCACUUUAUGGUGAACUUAUAUUGCUUUAUUUUGAGUUGGUCGUCUAUCAGAACAACCUCUAUAUCUCACACUGAGGUAGUGGUAUGGACUGCGUACACUUACCCUCCCCAGACCCUACUUGAUAGGAAUAUACUGGGUAUAUUGUUGUUGUUAUUAUUGUCACUUCAUGGUGAAGGAGGGAAUUAUGAUGGUCAUAAAAUCUAAAAGAAUGGUAUUCGAGUGGACCAAGCAAAAGUCGAGGUGAUUGCUAAGUUACCUCCUCCCAUUUCCUUAAAUGGUGUGAGAAAUCUCCUUAGUCAUGUGAGUUUUUAUAGAUAAUUCAUAAAGAAUUUUUUAAACAUUGCACACCCCUUGAGAAAACUCCUUGAUAAAGAGGCAAAAUGUGAGAUCAAUUAUGUGUGUUUGAAGGCAUUUAAUCAUCUCUACGACCUUCUUUUUAUGGCCUGUAUUAUCGUGGCCCCCAAUUGGUCUUUACCCUUUGAACUAAUGAAUGAUGCAAGUGGUGUUGCUAAAGGUUCGGUGUUAGGCCAAUGGAAGGAGAAGUUGUUCCAUCUAAUGUGAUAUGUAAUCAAAUCAUUGAAUGAUGCUCAACGUAAUGAUAUAGUAUGGAGCAAGAAUUUUUGGUGGUGGUAUAUGCUUUCAAAAAGUUUUGAGCAUAUUUUUUGGGCAUGAAAUUGGUGGUGCACAUGUAUCAUGAUGUUCUUAAGUACCUCAUAGAAAAUAAAGAAGCUAAAUCACGCUUGAUUAGAUGGAGCUUACUAUUACAAGAAUUUGAAUUUAUGGUGAAUGAUCAAAAGGUUGUGAAAAUCAAGUGGCCGACCAUCUUUCCCACCUUAAAAAUAAUUAUGAAAAGUAGGGUGAGAUUGAGAUUAAUGAUACCUUUCCCGAUGAGCAAGUUAUGUCAAUCUUGGGGAAUUGUGCACUGCAGUAUGACGACUAUGUUAAUUAUUUGGUAAAUGGUGUAUUCCCUAAAAAUCUUGGCUAUCAUCAAAGAAAGCAAUUCUUGUUUGAUGUAAAGAAGUGUUUUUAGGAUGAAACCUUCCUAUUAUACGAAUGUGCGGAUGGUAUGAUUCAGCAUUUUUUUAUGAAAGUUAAAAUGAAAGACAUUCUUGAAGCGUGUCACUCCUUUCCUUUUGAUGGCCACCAUGGGGAGUUCCGAAUUUCCGCCAAAGCUCUUUAAUGUGGUUAACAUUGGUCCACAAUUUUUACAAAUGCCAUGUAGUUGUUCAAAGCAUAUAAUUAGUGUCAAAUGCAAGGUGGCAUUUUGAGAAGGGCAUGGUGCGCGUUACUCUAUUUAUCUAGGGGCCACUAACAUGUACCACAAUUUGCGGAAAAUCUAUUGGUAAAGUGGGAUGAAAAGAGAUGUUACAGAGUUUGUGGCUAAGUGCUCUACAUGUCAGCAAGUUAAGAUAGAUCAUCAUAAGCCCAGUGGUCCUAUGUAAGAGUUCAGUAUUCCUACUUGGAAGUGGGAAGUUGUGAACAUAGACUUCGUGAUGGGUUUGCCUCAAACUCGUCGUCAGCAUGAUUCAGUCUAGGUCAUUGUAGAUAGAAUGACCAAAUCAGCUCUUUUUCUUCCAGUUCAUACCUCUUAUUCAGCCAAGGAUUAUUCCAAGCUCUACAUCAAGGAGUUGGGCAAAUUGCACGGUGUUCCAUUAUCAAUUAUCUCAGACAGAGGUACCCAAUUCACCUAUCAUUUUUGGAAAGCAUUCUAAAAGGGUCUUGGUACCCAAGUUUAUCUCAGUACAGCCUUUCAUCCUCAGACAGAUGGUCAAGCAAAAAGGACCAUUCAGACUUUGGAAGAUAUGCUAAGGGUGUGUGUAAUUGAUUUCAAGGGUAGUUGGGAUGACCACUUACCUUUGAUAGAGUUUGCAUACAACAAUAGCUAUCAUUCCAGUAUUCAGAUAGCUCUAUUCGAAGCUCUCUAUGGUAGGAGAUGUAGAUCUCCAAUCGGUUGGUUCAAAGUUAGUGAGGACUUGGUCAUAGGUCUUGACUUAGUAUUCGAUGCUUAGAGAAAGUUUAGUUAAUUAGAGAAAGACUUUGGGCUGCUCAGAGCUGACAGAAGUCUUAUGCAGAUAUUUGUAGAAAGGAUCUCGAGUGAGAUUGGUGACUAUGUCUACCUCAAUAUCUCUCCUAUGAAGGGAGUAAAGAGAUCUGGCAAGAAGGGAAAGCUCAGUCCCUGAUAUGUCGGUCCCUUCAAGAUUCUUAGUCAAUUCGGCAAGGUAGCUUAUAAGCUCGAAUUACCUUCAAAUCUAGCCUCAGUUCAUCCAGUCUUUCAUGACUCUUUGAUUAAGAAGUGUAUAGGUGACCUAUCAGUCGUAGUCCCUAUUCAGAGCAUAGAUGUUCAUAACAAACUCUCUUAUGAAGAGAUUCCAGUUGAAAUCUUAGACUAUCAGACUCGUAGAUUAAGGAACAAAGAAGUCCCUCUAGUUAAAGUUCUUUGACAAAAUCAGUCUGUUGAGGGAGCUAAUUGGGAAGCAGAAGUAUAUAUGCAUACCAAGUAUCCUCACCUUUUCGACGCCAACUCAGAUCAAUCCCAAGGUAAUAGUUCUCCUUAAGCUUACUUAGUUUCAUGAUUAAUGUGCAUCACUAACUUAGUAUUCAGUCUUAUAAUCAUGUUCCCAUGAUAAGCUUGGUAUGAAGUACCACCGCAUAUUCAGCCAUGCACUCAUGUAUCAUUUUAGUUAUAUAAUUAUGCAUCAGACAUGCAUUCUCAUUGUGAGAAAACUUAGUUCGCUAGAACUUUCAGUUAUACAUUUAUGAAUUAGUUACGCAUGCAUCAGAUAUGCAUGUUCAAUAUAUUAUGUUCAGCUUGUCAGUCACGUCCGUCACAAGAUCAUGUUCCAGUUAUUCAUGUUUAGUUCAUGUUCAUUUUAUUGUUUUUCCUCUCAGUCAGUCUCAUUCAAGGACGAAUGUUCUCAAGGGGAGAUAUUGUAAUACCCCUACUUUUUCUUAUCUUGAAAGUUAUCUCAAGGAUGUUAGAACUUGCUUUGAAAUAAGAAUUCAUUCUUAUACACAUGUUAUUUCCAUAAUUUUCACUUCCUAUCACGUGGGAAAUUGAAUAAGCUUUCCAUGAUAUAUAAUUCGCCCAAAUCCGACACCCAGGCAAAGAGUUAGAGCCUUUUAGUGAGACAGUAUUUGACUUUAGCCUUCAACGCAUCGUGGAGAUAGUUCAAAUGCCAAUUGUCAAAUUUCCAGUGUUGCUUCGUGAUACUGGCGCGUUGCGCCAAACUUCUAGGUCAUAGAUAAGGUGGAAACACAAUAGCUCUACGUCACGCCACCAUACAGUUUUCCAAUUGUCAAUUUCCAGUGACACGGCGCGAUAACGCCGAAAUUCGGGAAAUUUUACUGAAAAUUUAAAUUACAUGUCUAGGGUUACAAGGGUCAAUUCCCCCCCCACCCCCUCACCCCACCAUAUAAGCUUCCAAACACGGGAUUUAGCCCUUAUUCAUCCAAAAUAUUGAUGUUUUUCUCAAAUACUCUCAAGAACUCAAGCUAAGGUUUUCAUAGAAGGUCCAAUUUCAAGACGGUUUCGCCAUCAAUCUUCACGAAAUCACAAACUAAGGUAUGCAUAGUGUUCAUUCAUGGACUCCUUUCAUCCAUGAAGUUCAAGAAUCCUUUUUCACUACAAGUUAUGGAUUUUCUUCAUAUGUUCAUGCUUUGUAUGCUAUCUUUAAUGUUGAUAAAUGAGGAAUUGAUUUCUAUUCCAUGAUUUGAUGAUAAAUUUCAUGUGGGUUGAUUAGUAUAGACAAAGAUUUACAAAAUCUGAUGACUAAAACCCUGGUAUGAUGAAAUUGGAAUUGAACCAUGAUGUUUAAUUGCUAUACCAUGAUGUUUACAUGUACCAUGCCUGUCAUAUGUUUGAUUAAAUGCCUAGAUGAAGGAAUAUUGUCUUACUAGGAUGAUAUCAUGAAAUCCCCAUGUAUGUACAAGAUCAUGCCUAUUACAUGUUUGAUGAAAUUCUCCUAUUAAUGUAGUAUGUAUUAUGAUGUUAGUCAAGUCUUCAAGUAAAUCAUGCUAUGUCAGUUUCCUUCCAUCAAGUCCUGGGGGUACUUUUACCCGAAAUAUUAGCUAUGUGCCUAGAUUCAUGUCAUGUUUUCAUGAUACUCUCAGUCAAGCUGUGAACUCUUAAACUUCAGAUAGUCUUAUGACUCAGGAAAAAUCUCUAUGAUCUCAUGACUCAGUCAGUUGUCAGAUAUCAGUAGAAUUUUGUCAGCCAUGGAAAUUUAGUAACUCAGCCCAUGCUCAGUUCAGUUCAAUAAAUCAUGUCUAUCAUCUAUUCAGAUGGGAGUAGGAAUUAGCACCAAGUGAACCAAAGGAUGGGGACUCACCUGUUAUAUGAGGGUGUGAUUCCUAGAAGUAAUCCUUGUGUUCCAAAACUAUGUAUCCAACAUAGGUUGAGACAUCGUAGCCUGCUAUAUGAGGGUAGAUGGGUGGCAUAACAUGUUAUGUGAGGGUUCCCACCAUUAUCGCUUAGAGUUACCUGUUAUAUGAGGGUUACUCACAUGUUAUCCUUACUAGUGGUGCAGUAUUUACACCCUUACAAUCAGGGCAUAGAUUGGACCCCAGCUCAGCUAUUAUAGCACAUUUGGGGUAUGUCGGUUAUAUAAUACUUCCCAUGGUUUCAUGUUACAGAAUCAGGACUGUCAGAUAUAGUCAAUCAGUCUCAGUAAUAGAACUCAGAUAGUUUUUCAAAUUUUAGGACUCUUAGAUACAGUCAACUCAGAUAUAGUACGGAACUCAGAUAGUUCCAUCAGAUUUAGGCCUUUCAGAUUAUGUUUCAUAAUCGAACCUUAUGUCCUUUCAGUGCAUGUUUCCACAUUAUUAUGUUAUCUUAUGCAGUAUACAUGUAUAGAUAUUAGUCAUGGGUUAGCUUAUGGUCCUUCAGGGUCAUGAGCACCGUGUAGUGUUCCGGUUUAAAAAAUUGGGUCAUUACAAUGGACUACUUCCCUACUGAUUCUCUCUAACUUGACUAGUCAAGGUGUAAGUCAUGGUAGAGGAAUGGGCUAUAUAGGAAAAUUCUAACCUGUCAGGUGGCAAGUAAAGACUAUCAAUGAGGAUAGAAAUAAGGUUGUUAAUCCUAUAUGUACUCAUUUGGGGAAGGAUAGGCACACUAAGGGAUAUUGUCACAUAUGGCUUAGACCUAAAAUAAAUAGCUUCAGAGAUGUUCAGCAAGGAAAAUCACAUCAUAAGGGGUUUAAGCCACUGGAAAUUAUAAAGAGAAAGCUAUCUCUACCUAUGUGGGCCAAGAAGAUUUGAUCACUCCCUUGUCUUCUUACUGGGAACUCAAACUCAAGUGGGUUCCCAAAUCAAACAAAUGAUCAUGAUUCCAGGUUUGGGAAAGGGGACUACUAUCAAUAAUAUUCAUUAAAAGGUAGUUUUCAAAGCUUAAGUAUAGAAGAUCUAAAUGAAACCUCUCUUUCAAGACACUUCAAGUGAAGGUAUCAUAUUUUGAAAUAGUUGAUUUCAAAGGACCUGGUCCCUAACGAAUUAUGGUGAAAGUUUCAAGACAAAAAAGGUGUGUAGAGGCUAAAGCAUGAAUUUAUCAAAGCAACCUAACUUAUAAUAUGAAUCAGUCUCUCCUCUUAAAAUUGGUUAUGUCAAGGAGAUAGUUAUCCAUGAUAGAGUAGGUACAUGUUAAUCUAACUCGGUAUCAUACCUUUGCAGGUAUACACCCAUGGGGACAUCUUUGAAGGAAAAUAGUGAGGCAACCACAAGUUGAAAAUUCACUCAAGUAAGAGAGGUACCUGGUCCUAUCUCUCAGGUGAGUACCAAAAUAAUGUGCCAUGAAUUUUUAUAAAAGUUCUAUUUAAAAAGUCCAUUUGUCCAAUCUCAGAUUAACAAAACCUAUCAAAUUUAUUCAAAAAUAAAGUCACAACCGUUGUCAUUAGAUGGAUCUAUUCAAAAAGGCAACUCUUAAAUGUCAAACGGUCAUUUUUUUACUUAUAAAUUUAAAUAUUCUAAAUUCAUUCUCUUCCCAAUUUACUCAGAACUUAAUCAAAACAACUCCUUUUUGUUUCCUUCUCAAAAAAACCUCAAAAUAUAUGAAAUUCCCUCUUCGUCUAACCCCAUGAAAGAUUUGUCUUCUGAUCAUUAUCAAGAGCCACAAAGCAUGUUACCCAUCAGUCCUUCUCAUAAGACUCAUAAAACCCUAAGUGAAAUUGCUCCAUCAAAACUCUAAGCCCUAGUGAAUGUUCUAUCCUAAUAGUUGACCUAACCAAAGGUUUAGGGUCUCCAAUUUGACAAAAGAUUCUUCAAUUUGAAGUACAUUUUUUCUCAAAAAAUAGAGUCCUCAAAUGCCCCACCUGGUUCCCUUGAAGGAUUUGAGAGUUACUAAAAUUUUAGACAAUUUACAAGAACCUGGUUCUCCUACCCUUUCUGACUCAAGCUCUAUAUUUGUUAAUCUAGUUGAUUAAGAGAUUCAUGUAAAGAAGUCUGAUUCUCUUAGCAGCAUAGAUUUGGUAGCUGAGAAUAUACUCUUACUUGCUUAUGAUCCCAUAGAAAGUUCAGUUUGUGCAGAGGAUCAAAUAACAAGGGAAGAGGAUAACUUAAAAGGGGAUAAGGAAUUUAUAUUACCUCCAAAUAAGGAAAAUAAAGAAGGAAAGGAUAAUCAACCUCUGGGUUGGAAAAUUAAUAGCCUAAAGGACAAUAAAAAAAAAGUAAAAAUAAUCGACAUUGGUGUACAAGGUACUAGAUCCUAUUUCACUAGUGGAUCUGAAAAACAAAAAUACUGAAGUUGUGGAGAUUGAUAAAGGAGAGAAUCUAAAUUUAGGGGAUAUUUUUGCUAUCAAAAAAGGAAAAAAAACACAUAGCUCUGCUAGAAUGAGACAAAAACACAUAGUUUUCAAGAAAAGAAAAGACGUUGAGGGACUUGGUCCUGAGAAAAGAAUAGUUGUGGCUAAACAAUGAGUAGUAGUCCCAAGAAAAAGCAUAAAAUGUAAAGAUCAAAAUAAAAAUGGUAGAGAUGACUACUGAAGUUCAAGAAUUUAAUACUGAAGUGAUGGUUCUCACUAAACAGUUAUCAGAUGCCCAUACUGUUGGAAGUGCAAGAAUGAAGAUGUUAAUUAAAUCCCUUUCCCUUAAGCCUCCCUCUACCUGAACCUUGUUAUUCUCAUUCCCUCAUUAACCUUGUGCCAAUUUUAUAUCCUAGUUAACAUAAUAGAUUUUAAAUAUAAUUAUUUUAUGGUGAUUAUUUUAGGUUAUUGCACUGGACUAACUCUUAUGAAUGAAUGAAUCUUAUUUUGUGUACCUCAUUUGUCUCCUUUAUUUUCAAGUUGUUUUUUAUGCUAGUGUUGCCCCAGUGGCCAUGAGUUAACUGAUCUAUGCUUAUGUUACUCUUGGUUUUCUAUUCUCAAUUUUCAAUGAUGCCAAAAAAGGGAAUCAACUAAGUUCAUGUAGUAGGGACAAAUUUGAGUUGUAGAUUUAAAUGGCAUGUUGAUAGGGAAAAGUGGGUGAUGUGUUGCAUGGAUGAAUGAAGGGAUUCAUAUCAAUAGGGUGAAGUGUGCAAAUGCACUAAAAGUAGGUUCAUGAUGAAAGGGGAAAAAAUCAAUGUUUUUUGCUGCAAAUGACAACAAGGGGUAGGGUCCCUAUGUUGCACGAUAGAGGAAGUAUGAUGAUAAGGGAACAUUCAUCUUUAGGUGGUAAUAACAAUGAGUAAAUAUGAUGAAUGAUCACUGAUUCUCAAAGUUAAAUGGUUGGUAUUUCAUCAACAAAAAGGCGGAAAAUUGUUAUAUGUAGUUUUGAUGAUGAGCAGAUAACUGCAAGGGACCAAGUCCCCUAAUGUGCAAGAUAUAGUAUAGCUGGCACAUGUAGUCUGCACAAUUUUGUCAUCUUAUGUAAUAAAUUUGAACUUAUUAGGAUAUCUGGUCCAAUGAUGUUUUAUCCCUAAUCAUCCUCACCUAUAAAAUGAAAGAGAGGCCUCUUCACUAAGCAGUUUAUGCAAAUACAAAAGAGUGAAGAGAGGCAGCAUAAACCUAGUUCCAUUACUACUCAAGUUCUUAGCUUUAUGAGUGUUUAAUUGAAAAAUGUACUUAAGUGAGUACUAAUUUGUAAAAAAAUUACUUAAACUAUAAGACUAAUGCCUUGUUAUUUCAUUUAGAAAGGUGCUUAUGUAGAGUUUCAUAAGCUAGUUGCUGAUUAGAGUUAAUCAGUAAAGAGUUUCCUUGGUAGAGUUACCAAGAUGAGCUUGUAGUAGAUAUGCUACAAACGAAAGAAGCCUAAAGGUAGUCUAAAAUCUAGACUAUAAUUAGGUUGAUUAUAAUGGAUUUCUAUGGUGCUUAUAGGGAAGGCCAUGGUUUUUUCCUUCCUAGGUUUCCACGUAAAAAUAUAUGUGUGUUUUACUCUUUCUUCACUAUCCUUUAUUUUCCUGCAUGAUUAGUGGUUGUCUGCCUGUGAUUAAUUCUAAGGGACAUGGUCCCUCACUGUCUGGUGUAACCCCUAAGGGUUCAACAAGUAUGACACAAAGUAAUCAAAUUAUGGAAAUUACAUUAGCAACAGACAACCAUGCAUAUAUACAAGUCACACUUACCCAAACAAUUAUGCAACUUUGAUAUACAAUCCAUGUGUCCUCACAUCAUAAGAAGUCCCACUAACUCAAAUAUGUAAUCAAGCAUGUGAAUUCGGGGAUAGUAAAGAGACACUCACAAUCAGUAUGAAGUUCUAGUCAAUUUAUGUCAAAUACAAUAGGCUUGCCCUUAUUUUUACACCUAAGCUUUUAGACAAUCAAGUGAGGAUCACUAUAGAAAUUUUCUCGUAUUGUAAUGUAGGAUUGAGGGACUGGUAUGGUACGUAUGGAUGUCAAGUGACUAAGCCUCCUUGGCACUACACUAACUUUGGGGUCUCACUUAUUAACUAUUUUUCACUUUAUUUCUGCCUUUAUUUCUCCCUUUUCUUUUUCUACCACACCUAACCCUACUUUUUUCUCUUAUUUUACCCUUCUUCAUACCCACUUUACAUCAUGCACCCCUAUAAUAUCCACCCUCAACUUAGGUGAUUCUUCUUAGUUGAGGUGCACAAGGACCGAGCCAAAAUAGGUUCAUUAUAAUACAAAUAGGAAGAUGAAAGGUGAAAGAAAAUAAAUAGGUUGUAAAGCUCAAAGCAGGGAUCAAGGGAUACUAUUUCAUAAUGGGAAGGUCAUUUAGGCUAAAAGUGAACAACAAUCAAAAAUGGCCUAUGAACCUUUCCUAAACAACUAUCCUACAACCUAGGCAAGACCAAUCGAGCAAAUUCUAGAUGUAACAUACAAAGAGAACUAAGUAGCAUCUCAUACUCAUAUGGCACAGAACUAUCUCACAAAGUUACAAUGCCUAUUUGGUUCACGCAAUUAUUAGAUACGGUUAUCGUGUCCCUAAUUAUAAUUCCAUAACAAGACGCAUGAAGGUCACACAUAUAUACAUCACACACAAUUAAAAAAAUAAAUUUUGGACGCGUAUCAUUUUUCUCAAAAAUCUAAAUCAAAAUAUAUCAACUGCCCUAAGCACUCAAAAUUCACCUAGUUACGCAACAAAACACAUCACAACAUAAAAUAAAACACAUCAUGAAACAAAUUUAAACCUAGACAUACUGGUUCCACAACCAUACCACGGCUAAUAGGAAAAGAAGCAUGACAACAAAAAUCGGUGGCAGCAAUGGUUUGCCCCACCCCCAACUAAAAAACUGCAGACUGUCCCUAAUGUACAAAAAUAAAGUAAAAUAAAUGGAAAUGAGAACAUACCUGGGGUGCAUUAUAGUCACACUAAAGGAGGCGAUGGUAGUGGCGAUGCACUACUAGAGGAGGCACCCGCUACUAUCUCAUCGCAUCUUUGCCUUCCAACAAAUUCAGUCUCAUGAGAAUCAUGGGUGGCCUUUUUCAGGGUCUGCUUAUAUAGCAUAUUUGGAUCUUGGAAGUCCCCUUACUAGCCUUUUUGGUCCCAAUAAUAAGGACCAUCACAUCAUCCUCCACUAAAAGUUCAAAUUAUUUAGGUAUAAGUAGAGGUAUCAAUUGUACAACUGGGUAAGAUAGGAGGGAUGGUUGAUAUGUGGCUCUUAUUUAGUGAGCACACCUCGGCUCUAAGUGUAUCCAUCUCCUCUCUAAUAGCUCCAAUAUUCAAAACCUCAAUCAUUGUAAACCUAUCUACCACACGUCUCUCAAAAGCAUCAAUAUGUGUAUGUAGAUCGGCACAUAGCUAUGACAUAGUAUCUUCAUAUGCAGACUCCCAUCUAGCCUCUAUCAUCUCUAUUUUGUUACGAACCCAUGGUCGAAUCUGCUUAUAUAAAGUUGCCACCUCUAUCUUUAUAUUUUCUAAUCGCCUGGUGGUAGUGCUCUAUCUAUCCACUAAGCUCUACAACAAUUCAUGAGAAACUAACACCAUACCUGAUGUAGCAGCUAAAGUAGAUGAGUGAGUGGGAUAUGAAGAUACACCAACCUGCUAUGAGGUAAAAUCUAGGAUGGAUGCGGAUGUCACUGGGGUCCCCUCACCCUGUGUACUAGCCUUGAGGUCCUCUCUCUGCUCCCCUAUUAUAAAAUCUAUACCUUCUCCCACAUCUUCUGUUUGUGCCUCGAGUUGUGGCUUCUCAACAUGUCUAGGCAUAGCCUUCCUGGGAGCAGUCAAAGCUACUGUGGCAUGGUAUGAUGCAGAUAACUCCAACACCAAAGUCAGGCUGUAAGAAUCGAGUGGUAUAAUCAUCCACUCUAAUUGAUAAUGAUUAAAUAUUGCCCACAACUGUGAUGCUCUGCUCAACCCAGAUAGCUCAAUCUUGUGCUCCUCAUAAUGACCUCUUAGGUUGUCUGAUCUCUGUAAUAUGACUGUCUAUAACAAAUAUCAUCCGCAGUCCCUUCACGCACCAUCUCGGGUUGUCCUCAUCAAAAGUCAUCUCUGAGGUAUGUGUAGGGGUAGAACUCUAUCUCUGAUGUUUUGGUACCUCUAAAUCUGAACUGGCACCUUAUGGAAGGACUGCCUGGUACCCUUAACUAUUAUACAUGAGUUAUGGUACCCUCCUCGAACUGGGGUACUAUUGCUGGUUCCUCCUGAACUGCAUCCUCAGAUGCAUCUUAGACCUUUUCUCAGACCAAGGAUCCUGAGUGACAACCUAUGGAACUGGCUUAGACUCUACCUUAUCCUCAGCAUCAUUAUCACUCGGUGGAAGAGAAUAUGGGGGUGAUCUUCAAGCCGACUUCAUACUCAGUCGGGCUAGAGCCGACUGGACUGAAUGGCCUCAGUCUGAGACCUAGGCUAAGUAAAAGCUAGCCUUCUACCCCAUUGUGAAUCCUACGGUAGUUACACAUCUAUAGUGCCUAAAUAAUAGUCUCAUCUGCCUCACACACCUGACCUCUAGUCACUCGACGUUUCACCACCGUCAUAGUGGCUCAAACCUAUAUACUGUGGUACUCCUUCACUAAGCUACUAGGCUCGAGGGACUCAUCCCAUCUCCUCAGUGAAAAACCUUAUUCUUUGCACUUUGGGAGCCAUUUUUACCUACAAAACUGGAAAUUUGAAGAAAAACUCAAAUUUUGACAACUUCAAUUUUUAUAUCCCUAUAUUUGAAUGUAGUCCCAACAAGUACAAAGUGCAUACAUACAUCAAGAAUUAUAUCCAUCACUACCAAUUAUCAUGUCAAACUCUAAGUAUUCCCCUACUUCUUCAAGUGUUACUUCCGGUUAGGGCAUAAAUUUAGAGUUUAAUCCAUGAACCAUGACCUACAUUACAAUUCUAGUAUAGUUCAAGGCUCCUAACUAACAACUUCAUUGGUAAUAACAUAUAUUGCAUGUAACUAACCAUACCAACUACUUGUUUUCAAUUUUAACAUAUAGUUCUACGAGUAGGAGCCAAGAACAUUACCUUUUAGAUGCCAAAAUCAAAAGGCACUAUAAAGAAGUAAAGGAAAUUUGACGUUAGAACAUGUGUAUGGAACUUUUGGAUAAGUUGGUACCACAAACAAGUGUCAAUUUAAAGUUUUUCUAAGUGUGGGACCUAAGUUUGGGACAUGUUUAUACAUUGAGAGAGAAAUUUAGAUUUUAAGGGAAAGAAUGAAAGUUUUAGGAAUUUCUAAGUUAAAAUGAGUUAAACAUGACUUAAAUAGCAUGGGGGGUUAUGGUAUUUUUAAACAUUGGUGGACCCAAAAUUUUAAAUAAACUUUGAGCCCAAGAAUCUCCCACUUACGGUACCUACUUGCGGUCCACAAGUGGUACAUGCGAUCCAUAAGUAGGGAUCGGAUGUGGCUCCCUCUUUUUAAGAAAGUUCCCGACUUUCUGAACUCUUUAUUUUAAUAUGUACUCUGCUACCUACGAGAUCAUAAAUAGUAUUUUGACCCUAUAAGUAAUUUCUUAGGAAUAAGUCCAAAAAUAUUCCCCAAAACUCCUUAAAAAUUCAUAUUUUCAGUUAAGCACAACUUACCUAGCCCACGUGGAACUUAUGACCCUGAUGAGUGGGUCAUAAAGUCCCGUUACCAGGAAGGUUAUGACUGUAGAAUUUUACCAUAUUUUGGGUAAAUCCAUAAGCUAAAAACUUACAAAAACAAAAUAACAACGUGAACAAUAAAAUAGUGGGUUGCCUCCCACCCAGCGCUUGAUUUAACAUCGCAACAUGAUGUGGCUAUGUUAGUUACUCAAACUUCACCAACAAGCCCAUGGGUUUUCUCCAAUGCAGCACUUGAUUUAACAUCGCAGCACGAUGUGGGUAUCUUGCCUACUUAGAAUUCAUCAAGAUAUCUGAUAGAUUCCCUCCUGGGUCAUCAAUACAAUUAAUGACUUACACUACUCUCAUCUCGGUCGGCUACUUUAUUAAAUUUUGGACACUGAAUAUGACUUCUUCCUUGUUAACACUAAACUUAUGCUCCCUCUUCUCCAUGUCAACCAUGGCUCUACCUUUAUCCAUAAAUGAUCAUUCCAAAAUUAUAGGCAUCUCGAAAUUGACCUCAUAAUCCAGAAUCACAAAGUCAAAUGGAAAGAUGAGGUUAUAUAGUCUUACUAUUACAUUGUAUGAAAUGUUGACAGGCUUCUUACCAGUGCGAUUGGCCAUCAACAGCCACAUAGUAGUGUGCUCUAGAGGACUCAAACCUAAUUAUCUAAAUACAGCUAACGGCAUCAGAUUUAUGAUGGCUCCAAAGUCAUAGAGAGCUAUAGCAAAAUUGGGAGGUCUCAAUAGUACAUAGAAUUAUGAAUGUAUUAGGAUCAUCCUUUUUCUAUGACAGAGAUCUAGAAGUAACUACACUGCAAUAAAGCAGUCCACCCACAUCCUCAAAACUUGUCGUCUACUUCUUAGUAACUAAUUCUUACAUAAACUUGGCAUAUCCAGGCAUCUCCUUUAACGCUUUAAGAAGAGGGAUGUUCAAUCUCAAGUCUUUUAGAACUUUAAUAAACUUAUUGAACUUCCCUUCCUCCUGCUUCUAUUUCAAUAUCUAAGGAAAAAGUGGGGGAGGUCGUGGAAUCGACUUGAUUACUGGAUCGCUUCCAUCACUGUAAUACCCCAUACUUUUCCUAGCUUAAUUUCUCUUUUAGAAUGUCAAAGGGCUACUUUAAAAAUAAAUAUCUUUUGUUACAUGUGAAAUUUUCCAGAUUUAGACCUUCCAUUGUGUGAUAAAUUGAAUAAGCUUUCCAUCGAUAUCAAAUUCGCCCAAAUCCAACACUCGGUGAAGAAGUUAGAGCAUUGUUAGUAAUGCAGUGUUCCAUCUGGGCACUCCCCGUGUCGCGGUGGCUGCCAAAAUGGCAAUCUUCACAUUCUAGUGGACGUCUGUGAUAUCAACGCAUAGAGAAGAGGUCCAAAUUCACAAUUUUCAAUUUCCAGUGGUACAACGCGAUAGCACCGCGUCGCGCCAAAGUGCAAAUUUCCACUCGUCCUUUUCUAGUAGCUUAAUGUGAUUUCAACGCAUCGUGGUGAAGGUGUAAUUGUCGUACUCUUGAUCCAAAAUUCGAAUGCUGGUGUCAUGACUUUAAUCAUAAGUAUGUGGAGUUGUUAUUAGGUGAAUAAUGUUCAUAGAAGUCACUUAGAGCCAAGUGGAGCUAAGAACAUUAGAUUCGACCAAAAUUUGACAUUCAAUCCCACAGGGGUAUACUUUAAAUGUAUAUAACAUUUUAUAUAUGUGUAAUUUUCUAUCCCAAGACCUAUCAAAUUAUAUUUAAUUGAAUUAGCUUUCCGACGAUACCAUUUUUGCAAAAAUUUGAUACCCGAGCAAAAAGUUAUAGCCAUUUUAGUGUGAGGCAGUGAGUUGCCACGAUGGUACCGCAUCGCACUAAAGGGAAAAAUCAGAAUACAGGUUAUGAAUUUCUGCUUUAAAUUAAUAAGGGGCAAUGGAGUCUUUUUCCACCUCAACCCAGGUCAUAAAAACACGAUCCAAGGCCUCAAAUGGGGCAUUAUUUGCCCCCAUUCUCAAAUUAUUCCCUCAAGAACAACACAAAUCAAUUCCUUCAAGAAUCAUAUAUUCUGUCUUCUUCUCUUCAACAAAAAUUUAAAGAAUUUAGGAUUUCUAAGACAAGAACUUCAAGAAUGAUAUCAAGAUAAUCUCCAAAGGAUUCAAAGUUCAAGCUUUUAGAUUCAAUUCAUCAAAUCCAAACUAUUAAGGCAUGUGGGGUUUCAAUAAGGACGAUCCUUUCGUCUUUGUGCCCAAAACUUAUUUUAACUUAUAAAUUACUGAAUUAUGAUAUUUUCCAUGAAAUUAAAGUUAGGGUUUAUAUCCAUUAUUAUUAUUUGUAAGAUUUUGAGAUUUCUCAUAGAUUAAAGGUUGAAUUACAUGAUUUUGUUUAUAUUUCCAUGCCAAUUUCUGAAUUUUCCAGAUUUUAAGAUGAUUAUGAAUGUUUUGUUAUCAAGUAUAAGUUUUGAGAUGUUGAACUUAUGAGAUUCAUACUAUGAGUUAUUUUUCCAAUAUCUUAAAUGAGAUGAUUAUAAAUUUUUUAAGAUAAUGGUUGAGCAUGAAGUUUAACUAUGAUUUUGAUGCAUUAAUGCUUUAUAUUUUGAGUCCUAAGUACAAGUGAUUAGUUUAUAAGGAGAUUAUGAUCACAAGUUUUGUUGACACAUUUUGAUAAGUACUUUCAAAACCUAAGAUAGGAAUCCACACUACUUAUGAUUUAAAGCUAAAGAAGCAUAAUUUGGUCUUCAUUAUAGACCCUUGAGUUAUUUUAAGAUGGAUUUCCUAAAAGUUCUGAGCCUAAGUAUGGGAGUAGUAUUUAGCACCGAGUUGGGUAUGAUUCCGAGGUCUCAUGCCCCAGAACUAUGAACCACCAUAGGUUUUUGAAUUUCCCCAAGUGGGUUAAGAUAGUUAUCACUAUAGUUAAGGUUCUAUUCUGAUGGCAAGGGUAAAACAUCACUCCCCAACGUGGGCAAGACGUUGGACUCCAUGUUAUCUCACAUGGUUUAUGUCGGUUAGAAGAACCUCCCAAAGAAGACCCCUACUCUUUAAAUAGUUUAUAGAUUUAAAGUCUUACUAUAUAUUUUGAAAGUUAAUAUUUUAAGAUUUCCAAAGUUUUAAGUCUCAACGUCUCUAAAAGUGUUACAGUCUUAAAGUUCCCAAGUCUUUGAGUCCCAAGUCCUAAGUUUCCUAAAGUGCUAUAAUUUUUAUAUUUCAAAAGAAGUCCCUUAGUUUCAUAAGAUGAAAGUGUAUGUUCUGAAAGUUAUUAUUUUAAGAUUUCAUCUAGUUGACAAGAUUUGAAAUUAAGAAGAGGAUAUAGAUUUUAGAAUAAGGUAUAAUGACUCACGAGAUUUAUACUACAUUCUCCCUUAUUCAUGAUUUAUGAGAUUUUGAUUUCAAUUUUUGCUUAAGCUAUGUGAGUUUUUUAUAUCAGCAUACAUAAUUUCUAUAAAGAUUGAUUAUAUUAUUUAACUAUUGCAUACACCCUCAUAUACUCAGUACAUCCUCAAAGUACUGAUCCACAUAUACGUCUGUGUGCUACAUUGUCUCAUAAUAUAGGUACAAGCUAUAGCGCAUACACCAUAUUCAUUCAUUUCAUAGCUUUCAAUCAGUCGGUGAUGAGUUCUUUUGAUUCAAGGGGUCGAGUUAGUUAUAAAGUUUAAGAAGUAUUGUAUUUUCUUUAUUCAGUCGUAUUGAGUUGGGAUAGUUAGGAGUCAUGAUCCGGUUACCUAUAGUCAGUACUAGUAGAGGCUUCAUAGACAGUCAGUAGUGUUAAUUAUUUUAUUUAAGUUUUGUUGUCAAAAGUAGAGUUGUAAUCUUGUAAAUUCAUAUUUGUAUUGAUCGAGUUUAGAGAAGUUUUAUGUUUCCACUGAUUUUGUUUAGAUUUAUGUAUUUUAUUCAGUUGCUUGUAAGUAUGCCAGUAGAAGGGUUAGUUUGGUAUCAUUUGUGACCCUAAGCACCGUGUGACAUCUCAAAACCCAUUUUUGGGACAUUACAAACUUGGUAUCAGAGAAAAAGGUUCAAGUGUCCUAGGGUAUCUGUGAAGUCGUAUCUAGUUGAGUCUUACAGAAUGGUAAGGAGACAUCUGUACUUUUCUUUGAGAGGCUACAAGGCAUUUAAGAAAAGUUACCCUUCUUUCAUACUCUAGAUCAUGCAGUAAAGUUGUUCUAUCAGAAUCUUCUGUCUAUUCAUGUGUUAACCCAAAAUUUCUCAUCUAUGACUUAUUCUUGAGAUUAUAUAAUUAGCAAGUUCCAGUCCUUCCCCAGAUGAUAAUGCUCUCAGAUUUACUAGUAGAAGUUUCUGAAGUCUCACAAAGUAGCUUGAGAGGAGCUUUCUAGUGUGUUAUAAGUCCCUCAAGUUUAAAGUUAUGUCCUCAUUCUUAUGAGUCAUUCAGUUAAGAUAGAGUAAGAUGUGUAUUCUUAGAUCAUUGAAUAUUAUGUGUAAAGUUUUCAUCUCUUGUAAUCUUAUUAUCAUUGUGUUGUUGAAAUUCAAAGUCUAGUGAAGCCGUGUGGGGCUCUUUCGAUUCACUAGCAUAGUUGCAUUGUUACUCAUCUUAUUUUCUUCUUCAAAACACAAGAUCAAAGUCUAGUGAAGCCGUGUGAGGUCUAUUUUGAUUCACUAGCAACUUGUUGUUCAUCUUGUUAUUAUUGUGUUGGUUAGAACUGGGGGUUUAAAGGUGUAGUGACAAGAAAAGUGGUAAGGGUGAUUUAUUAAAUAUAUGUAUAGCCGAAUAUUUUUGCAUAAGAUUGAGUUAGUAAUAAAGUGAUAUGUCCUUGUGUGUUAAUUUAGUAGAAGGUAGAGAAAGAGUCAUUAGUUAAGGGAAAUUAUUAUUGCUUUGGGUAUGAAAAGAGUUGUUGACGGUGUUUGUUAUGCAAGAAAAGUAUCAGUUAUUGAUGAAGGUACUUGGUGGAUGAGUAUUGUUAAUUUAGGCGUCCCUGAGAUUGCCAAAGGGAGUUUAGUUGAAACUUAUAGAGCUAUGAACUAAGUUUAGUAGUAUAAAAAGGGUAGAUAGUAAUGAUAUGUAAAAGGAGGAUGUGUUAAUGGAUUUUAAAUAAGAUAGAUCAUAGGAUUGUGAUUGACCCUUACUAUUAUAAAGUUUUAGCGGACUGAUGUUUUUAGAUAUUUGGCAUGUAAGAAUAUUAUGUGAAGUUGUGGUUCAUCAUAGCUAGAACUAGACACUAAGUUUGAAUAGUAGAUGGUGAUCAAGGUGGGUAUAAUGAUUGUUAUGUUAUGAAUGUUAGUUUUAUAGAAGUGAUCUAAUAGGCUUGAAUAGUGUAUGCAAGAGCUUAAACUUACUUGAUUCGUAAUCAAGUCUGAUGUUGUAUGAAUGAUGUAGAAGUAUGCCCAAGGUAAUAUGGGGUGGCAUUAUUUUUUAGGAUUAUGACAUGUUGUGUGUGGCUAGUAGUACCGUUGAGUUGCUAGGUGGAGAAAGACUAUUUAGAUGGUAUAUAGUGUUCUAAAUAGACAAGUUAAGGAGUUUUGAUGGAUAGUGUUGAGCCUUUUGUUAUGGUCUUGAUUCUCAUGGUGUAGAGAUAUAAGUUUGGAGAUGCGAUAUUGGUAGGCUAUGACGGAAGUAUCAUGGUUCAUUAAGGGUUGAAAAUAUUUUUGUUAAGUUUUGGAACCUAAGUUAAGUUUUUUUUUUAAGAUUUAGCUAAUAGAAAUAAGAGUUGAAGUAUUAGAUGGUGUGCACUCCGACUAGGGGAUGCUCAGGAAGAUUCAAAGUUAGUAAGUGUUCAAGUAUUACGUGAUGAAUAUUGGGGACAUAGAAAGAUAGAGUUAUAUCUUAGAAUGAAGUAUUAGCAGUAGGUUUUACACUUUAAGGUGUAGUUUUUUGGGCUAAGUUUAGUUUUAGGUGUAUUGAUUAUACCCCAGAAUCUAGAGUAAAGUGAUUGCAGUUUAGAUUAGAGUUUACUUAGUGGUUAAUAGACUUAGACUGAUAGCUUAAAGCUAAGAGGGAGAUGAUAAGAUAAGUAACCAAGUCAGAUUCUCAGAUUCUAGUAGUGCUGCCCGUGUAGGGUAAGAUGCUUGGCUCAUUCUUAUUUCAGUAUUAGUACCUUAGUCAUCACAACAUUUAAUCAUGCCUUACGUGUCAGCCCAAUGAUCAUAGUUUGGUUCAUACAUAUCAUAGAAAAUCUAUACUUUCCUAGUCCCUAGUAUGAAGAGCUCUAGGCCAUUCAACAGUACGAAUCAUGUUCCAGGAAUUUAUGAACUCCAAAAUUAGGUCAUCCAGUUCAUGACUCAUGUACUCAUGCUUUAUAUUAUGCUCAGUUCCCAUAACUCAUGCUACACUCCUAAUGAUUGGGCAAGAUUCAUCUUAUAGUCAUGAAUGCCCUCAAUUCAGAUCUCUUUGAUAAAUCCAUGAUGUUCAUUCUCUAUUCCUCAGGCCCCAGUUAACUAUCAAGUUACGUAUAUUAUCCUUCCAUGCUUCAAGGUCUCAUCUUCUAACCUUUCAGUGACUCCUCCUGAGGUAAUGAUUGUGGUGAUGAGUAAAUAUUUCUUGUUGAAGAAAGGUAGUUGUAUGCUUAUCUUACUAAAAUAGUAAAUGUGAAGUAAGAUUAAGGCCAAGUCCUUGAUACAUGUCAUGGUUAGUUGAAAUUUUAUGUGUUAAGUUUGAGAAGAUUGUUGUAUGCUUAUUUUAUGUAGGUCUAUAAAUGGAGGAAUAUUGAGGUGAAGUUUUGAGUAUAAUUACUUAGUUAGUUGGGAAUAUUUUAUAUGUGUCUUUCUAAGAAUUGAAUAGUGCUUGGAUGAUGUUAUUGAUGAAGGUAUUGGAGAAUAUAAUAAAGAUACUUUCAUAUGUGUUUGGUUAGAAGUGCAUACAUGGUUAUGAAGAUAGGCUUGAAUGUCAUGUUCGUAUAUAUAUGGAUGGAUGUAUUACGCGUUAGUGAGAUCCUAGUAGAAGGUUGAAUGCAGUUGUUGCAGUGGAAUGUACUGUAUGAGUUAACUCGUUUAGCCAAUAAUUCAGUCUAGUAGCCAUACAGGCAAGUUUCUAUGGUUUUCAAUCUUCCCAUCUAGUCAUAUUAUUCUAAGAGGAUGCGUCAGUUUCAAAAUCACGAUGAUCAGUCAUGAUUCAAAUCGUAAGCUUCCUCGUUCGUCAUCUAAGUCAUUCCCUUGGUAUUUUCAACUUAAUUAGAAACAUUCAAGGACUAAUGUUCCCAAGAGGGAUAUAUUGUAAUACCCCGUACUUUUUCUAGCUUAAUUUCGCUCCUAGAAUGUCAAAGGGUUGCUUCAAAAAUGAAUAUCUUUUGUUACAUGUGAAAUUUUCCAGAUUUAGACCUUCCAUUGUGUGGGAAAUUAAAUAAGCUUUCCAUCGAUAUCAAAUUUGCCAAAAUCCAACACUUGGUGAAGAAGUUAGAGCAUUGUGAGUAAUACAGUGUUCCACCUAGGCACUCACCACGUCGCGAUGGAUGCCAAAAUGGCAAUCGUCACAUUCCAAUGGACCUCCGCGAUAUUGGCCCAUCACAGAGAGGUCCAAAUUCCCAAUGUCAAUUUCCAGUGAUGCAACGCGAUAGCACCGCAUCGCGCCAAAGUGCAAAUUCGCACUCGUCCUUUUUCAGUAGCAUAACGCAAUUUCAACGUGUCACGGUGAAGGUGUAAUUGUCAUACUCUUGAUCCAUAAUUUGAAUUCUUGUGUCAUGAAUUUGAUCCUAUGUGAAAUCCUUAUUAGGUGAAUAAUUUCAUUGAAGUCACUUAAAGCCAAAUGGAGCUAAGAACAUUAGAUUCGACCAAAAUUUGGCAUUCAAUCCUACAAGGGUCUACUUUAAAUGUGUAUAACAUUUUAUAUAUGUGGAAUUUUCCAUCCUAAGACCCACCAAAUUGUAUAUAAUUGAAUUAGCUUUCUAGAUAUACCAUUUUUUCAAAAAUCCAAUACCUGAGCAAAAAGUUAUAGCCAUUUUAGUGUGAGGCAGUGAGUUGCCGCGACUGCCGCAAUGGUAGCGCAUCGUGAAUAAGGGAAAAAUCGGGAUGCGGGUUACGAAUUUAUGCUUUAAAUUAAUAAGGGGAAAUGGGAUAUUUUCCCACAUCAACCCAGGUCGUAAAAAUACGAUCUAAGGCUUCAAAUGGGACAUUAUUUGCCCCCCAUUCUCUAAUUUAUAUCUCAAGAACAACCCUAAUCAAUUCCCUCAAGAAUCAUCUAUUCCAUCUUCUUCUCUUCAACAAAAAGAUCAAGAAUUUAGGAUUUCUAAUCCAAGAACUUCAAGAAUGAUAUCAAGAUCAUCUCCAAAGGAUCCAAAGUUCAAGCUUUUAGAUUCAAUUCAUCAAAUCCAAACUAUUAAGAUAUGUGGGGUUUCAACAGGGACAAUCCUUUCGUCCUUGUGCCCAAAACUUGUUUAACUUAUAAAUUACCGAAUUAUGAGAUUUUUCAUGAAAUUGAAGUUAGGGUUUAUACCCAUUAUUAUUGUUUGCAAGAUUUUGAGAUUUCCCAUGGAUUAAAUGUUGAAUUACAUGAUUUUGUUUAUAUUUCCAUGCCUAUUUCCGAAUUUUUCAGAUUUUAAGAUGAUUAUGAAUGUUUUGUUAUCAAACAUAAAUUUUGAGAUGUUGAAAUCAUGAGAUUCAUACUAUGAGUUAUUUUUCCAAUAUCUUGAUUGAGAUGAUUUUAAGUUUUUUUAAGAUGAUGGUUGAGCAUGAAGUUUAAGUAUGAUUUUGAUGCAUUAAAGCUUUAUAUUUUGAGUCCUAAGUACAAGUGAUGCAUUUAUAAAGAGAUUAUGAUCUCAAGUUUUGUUGACAAGUUUUGAUAAGUACUUUCAAAAUCUAAGAUAGGAAUCCACACUACUUAUGAUUUAAAGCUAAGAGAAGCAUAAUUUGGUCUUCAUUAUAGACCCUUGAGUUAUUUUAAGGUGGAUUUCCUAAAAGUUCUGAGCCUAAGUAUGGGAGUAGUAUUUAGCACCGAGUUGGGUAUGAUUUCGAGGUCUCAUGCCCCAGAACUAUGAACCACCAUAGGUUUCUGAAUUUCCCCAAGUGGGUUAAGAUAGUUAUCACUACAGUUAAGGUUCUAUUCUGAUGGAAAGGGUAAAACAUCACUCCCCAACAUGGGCAAGACGUUGGACUCCAUGUCAGCUCACAUGGUUUAUGUCGGUUAGAAGAACCUCCCAAACAAGACCCCUACUCUUUAAAUAGUUUAUAGAUUUAAAGUCUUAGUAUAUCUUUUGAAAGUUAAUAUUUUAAGAUUUCCAAAGUUUUAAGGCCCAAAGUUUCUAAAAGUGGUACAGUCUUAAAGUUCCCAAGUCUUUGAGUCCCAAGUCCUAAGUUUCCUAAAGUGCUAUAAUUCUUAUGUUUCAAAAGAAUUCCCUUAUUUUCAUAAGAUUAAAGUGUAUGUUCUGAAAGUUAUUAUUUUAUGAUUUCAUCUAAUUGACAAGAUUUGAGAACAAGAAGAGGAUAUAGAUUUUAGAAUAAAGUGUAAUGACUCACGAGAUUUAUACUUCAUGCUUCCUUAUUCAUGAUUUAUGAGAUUUAGAUUUCAAUUUUUGAUCAAGCUAUGUGAGUCAUUUAUAUCAGCAUUCAUGAUUUCUAUAAAGAAUGAUUAUAUUAUUUAACUAUUGCAUACACCCCCAUAUACUCAGUACAUCCUCAAAGUACCAAUCUAUAUAUACAUCUGUGUUCUACAUUGUCUCAUAAUGUAGGUACAAGUUAUAGCGCAUACACCAUAUUCAGUCUAUUCGCAGCUUCCAGUUAGCAGGUGAUGAGUCGUUUUGAUUCAAGGACUCGAAUCAGUUAUACAGUUUUAGAAGUAUUGUAUUUUCUUUAUUCAGUUGUAUUGAGUUGGGAUAGCUGGGAGUCAUGACCCGGAUACCUAUAGUAAGUACUAGUAAAGGCUUUAUAGACAUUCAGUAGUGUUAAUGUAUUUUAUUUCAAUCUUUUUGUCAAAAGCAGAUUUGUAAUCUUGUAAAUUCAUAUUUGUAUUGAUCUAGUUCAGAGAAUUUUUAUGUUUCCGCUGAUUUUGUUUAGAUUUAUGUAUUUUAUUCAGUUGCUGGUAAGUAUGUUAGUAGAAAGGUUAGCUUGGGAUCACUUGUAACCCUAGGCACUGUGUGACGCUUCGGGACCUAUUUUUGGGGUGUUACAAUCACCCAUACCUUUAUCCUCAUUCACGCUACCAUCACAACCUGUUGCCUUUUCUAACCCUACAAUGGGUGUCUCAUCAAUAGUAGUUUCAUCAAUCUUUAACACUUCCGCAGCAGGUAAAGGAAGAUCCACAGUAGUUAUACCAUUCCGUGUGGUAAUAAUAAGAACAUGAACGUCAUUUAUUAGAUUUUUUAUAGUGUUGCUCGGAAGGGUGCCUGGCUGCCUUUUGUUCGGUGUUGCCGACAUCUACCCAGACUGGUGCUCCAAUCGCUUGAUAGCAGUGGCAUGAGAUUCAACCUUCUGGGUCAACCCUAAAAUGUCAACCUUAAUCUCCUUAAUAUUGUUCUCCUGAUUUUCAUGACCCUUGACCGUCUUUGUCAGCAUUGCCUCUACUCUAGACUCUAUAUCCUAGCUGCCUGGUCGAAUGUAUCUAUCUCCCUUCUCUCUAUUGUCAUUUUUCUUCCUCCAAUCCCCAUCCCUCUCCCUAUUGUGAUCCCUGUAUCUAUUACCAUAAUAGUUUUGACCUUGAUUUCCUUGACCUUAGGCUCAAAAACCCGCCAACUCAUGAUCAAGAUACUUGGCUUCUUCUUCUAAUUCACACUGAUAAGAUUUGGAUAUUGAACCCUAUGCUCCUACUGUGUUCACUUUCUCAAAACUCGUUGCCGCAAACUGCUUUGACAUCAACCCAAGAUUAGUCCUCAGCAAUGCAAUUUCUUACACUACUAAAUAAUGAACUACUCUUUAGUCGUUGGAGGCACCAAUAGCAUAAGUUCUAGAACCUCUUGAUAACACUCAACUCACUCCCAUGUUUGAGGAGUGAGGCGGUCGUUGUCAGUAACCCAACUAAAGUUAGGGUCGAAUCCACAAGGAGCGAAUUAUAAAUUUUGAGUCUUAUGGGUACUCUAAUCACUAGAAGGGUACCCAUAGCGUCAAUAAACACGACAUGUAAAAUAAAAUAGGGGGAUGUAAUUUGAGGUUGGUUUGAAACAAGUUUCGACUACAACACACCAAGGUAAUACUAUUGAUUUGAAAUCAAGAUUUGAAGAGAUCUUAGGAUUAUGUAUACAUAAAUGUAAAGUAUGUGGGUUGUUGAUGGUUUAACAUGAAACUUAGUUGUUAAGUAAAGGAUAGGCUCGGUCUAUAGCCAUUAUGUCCAAUCUUCCAAUAAAACCACAAUGAUUUCACCCAUUGACUCUUUCGAGCACCUACAAGUUAAAAGUUAUAAUCACCUAAAACCUCAAUCAAGCAUCCCUAUUUCUAGGAUGAUGCUCUUGACAUGGCUUACACUUCAAUCUAACUUAUUUCUAAGAUAGCAAAAGGUCGUAAACCAUAGACUUAAUUGUCCACCAUUACCUUUUCCCCUUAUAACCCUCUUUCAAGGAUAUUAUGGGUUAUCAUAUAUUCACCCCCAUCCCUCCUUCAAGGAUGAUGAAGGAUAUUAUGGGUUAUCAUAUAUUCACCCCCAUCCCUCCUUCAAGGAUGAUGAAGGGUUUCUAGAGCUUGGGGUUUUCAACCAUCAAAACCAUUUGGAGAUUUGACGCAUUCACCCAUCAAAUUCUAACUCAUUAACCUAAGCAAUUGUGGAAUCCAUACUCCACAACUAAAAAUCGUGCAAACAAAUACAACAAUACCCACACACAAUUACACUUUAGCUCAACAUAAUCCCAGGACUAAAAAAGUUAGCUACUCAUGAGAUAGGAGAAAAGAAUUUUACCAGAUAUUUCAUCCAUGGUGCUCAUAAUAAUAGAGGGAAAAAAUAAUCUUCAAUUCCACACUCCAAUGUCACUAAAUUUCUUCUUGGAAUAAUAAUUAUAAUAACUAUGAACAAUUAAUUUUUCACUCCAAAAUUCUAGGGUUUUCCACUCUCUUCUCCCUCUACCUGUAAAGUGUUUUGAAUCCUCAAUUUAAGUCUUCGAUUUAGCUGUCCAGAUUAACUACAAUGCCCUUUACUCAUUUAUCUUAUUGUGCCACAGUCGUGGAGCUUCGACUGCGAUCACACAAUUGCGGUCGCAGCUAUGACUGAGCGAUUGUGGUAUGUUGGCAGAUUGACAGAUAGGGAUUGUGCUCUUCUAAUUGCAAUUGCGUUACCCAAGGCUGGAUAUGCUCCCUGCUUAACUGGCUACGAUCGCGGUGUUCAAACCACAACUUUGGUAACUGAGGCCACUUCUACUCUGAGUCAUUAGCAGCAUUUUCUUGAUUUCUUUUAUCAUUUCAAGCCCCAAUCCACAUUUUCUCAUCUCCUCAACUCUAUUCCUACAAGGAGUGGAGAUUUAGUGCAAAUAAUCAUAGUUAUGUCUCAUUGAUUUCUUCAAAAUAAGAUAAUGUGUACGCAUAAUGAGUGAGAAUGAUUGGUAAAAUCACCACUCAUCAACAAUCCCAACUUAAAGUUUUUUCUUGUCCUCAAGCAACACUACCUCGUAUCAUGAGAUAAUAAACAUUAAUGCCCAAACUUCCUGCCUUAAAGCUCACAAUGACUCUAAACGUGGUCAUCACCACAAGUAGCAUCAUUGCACUUGUGCUUAUCUAUUUUCGCUAAUCCCCUCAUCAUAAAAAAUGCAAUAUCUAUGAAUGCAUAAAACUUUAAAGAGCAACCAAACAACAACAAUCAAUAUUUUAUAAAUGGAUCCUGUUAACUAUAAUUAAGUUACACUUUAUUUGCCUCUAUGCUUGGAAUGAGACAAAAUCGCCCACCACAACUUGUUUCACAUGCCAAUCCUUACAAGAAAUAAAAUUUCACACACCAAGCUACCAAAUACACAACAAGGUAAUUUAAGUGUAUAAACUCUCUCACUCAUAAAAGAGAUCUCUAUGCAUCAAUUGUCGUACCAUAGGCUUGCCCUUAUUUUCUAUCGCUACUAUAAAGAGAGUAAGUGGUUGGAGAUCUCAAAGGUCUUUCUAAACUUGUAACGUAGGAUUGAGUUAGGGUAGGAUGUCAUUUGGGAUCAACAUGGCUAUACCCUUCCUUUAACUCUUACAUCACACUAUUUAUUUCACUUUUUUUACUAGGGGCCACUAUUCCCUCUUUUCUCUUUUUUAAUCAUACCCACUUUUUUCUUUCUUUGUUCACCCGUUUUCCUUUCUAUUUCUUUUUCUUGCCAUUUUUAUGCAAUUCCUUCCUCUAUUUGAUACUUUCAUUUUCUAUUCCUUUAUUUUCAACACUUAGGCAAAUUCGGCAUUUUACUAACACUUCAUGGCUCCAAACUUUCUUUCAUCAACUUUCACCUCCCUCGACUUAGGCUUUUUAGCCUCAAGUUGCAUUUCAAGUUCAAAGAGGAUGUGGUUCAAAAGAGGGAUAGAAAGAACGGGUCAUGGCUAGUAAAGUGUUUUCCAAAUAAAGGUCCAAAGGCUCAAAGUGGGUAACUAGGGAUUACAAUCAUGCACGAGUAGGCUUUAGGCUAGAGUGGGUUACAAAGUCACAAAGAUGGUCUAAGAUCAUUUCUCCAACAACAUAUAAUCAAAAUUAGUUUUGAAACACUAACAGUGCAAGUUUUAUAUAACACAAGUAUUUAAGGGAUAAAUGUAAAUAGCUCGCCGCAUAUGGCAUGCAAAAUUUGUCAAGGGGGCUCGAAUGCCCUUCCCGUUAGAGACAAUUUGGAAUAUCUAUUUCUAUUCAUAAGUCAAAAAUUUAUGAAGCCACCAAAAAAGAAAGAGAUUCGUUACAACGUUGCUCACGUCCAUGCCCUUGAUUCUCAAAAUUUUCAAAGGAGGGAAUUGUUCAUUUUUUAUUAGCACCACGUGCAACUUGCUAAACUAAGGCUCGGGUCAAAAUAGGCAAACCAACCAUUUGGUUACUCGAACUUCACCAAUGGUGUACAACUUGACCCCAAUUUAAAAAAAUACAAUGCCACAGAUACUUUGACUUUCCUUGUAUUCUUGACAUUUAUGUUAUGGGUACUCAGAAUUCCCUUGUACCUAUGUUUCACAACCAAGUAGCCUCACUAUACCCCCAUCUUAAAGGCCAGAAGUGUCCUCACUGAAUUAAAUUUAAGAAGUAAAAGGGAUGAGAAAGGCUUAUAGAGACAGCAAGCAGUGUAGGAAUAUGAUGCCGCGAUCGCGUAAACAUGUCCGCAAUUGUGUUGACGCAAUCGCGUUGACGCAAUCGCGGUCUACUGACCACAAUUGUGGUAGCUGAGACUGGAUUCCUCUAUUUUUUUCUCUAUUUUUUAUUUUCCUACAUAGCUGCCAGUUUUUCAGCUCUUUUUCCCCUAUUUUUAUGGGCACACUACUUAUGUUAAAAGACCUACAAAGCAUCAAAACAAACACAAGAUGAGUUAAAAAUGGGUUCCCUCCCAUCAAGUGCCUAAUUUAAUAUCGCGACACGACUUCCUCCUUUUACCACAUAGCAUCUUUGAAGUUAAUACACUCCACCAUGGCUACCAUGGGGAUUCUAUGAUUGUAAAGCUUCACCCUUUGACCAUUUACUAUGAAUUUCUUUUCUUUAUUAUCUUCCAAUUCAAUGGCACCACUCGGGUAGACAUUAGAAAUCACAAAUGGUCCCGACCACUUUGAGCGGAGCUUCCCCACAAAGAGUUUCAAACAAGAAUUGUAGAGGAGUACAUUCUCUCCAACAUAAAAUUCUCACUGUAAUAUCCGAGUAUCAUGCCAUUUCUUCAAUUUCUUCUUAUAAAAUGUCGAACUCUCAUACGCCUUUAAGCAAAAUUUCUCUAUCUCAUGGAGUUGCGUUACCCGUGCCUCAGAUACUUUUCCCCAAUUCAUAUUUAACCUCUUCAAAGCCUUGUGUUCAAGAUCGGAGAGUAAAUGUCAUGCUUUUCCAAACACCAAUUGAUAGGGAGACAUUCCAAUUGGGGUUUUGUAGGCCAUUUUAUAGGCCCAAAGCGCUUUAUCAAGUUGCCUUGCCUAAUUUAUGCGACCUAAAUUUACCAUAUUUUCAAGUAUGGCCUUGAUUUCUCAAUUUGAAACCUCCACUUGUCUGCUUGUUUGGGGGUGGUAUGGAGUGAAAACCUUUUGCUUAACCCCAUACUUGUCAAGAAGAGCACCAAACACACGAUUGCAAAAAUGUAAGCCAUCUUUACUAAUGAUGGCCCGAGGGAUGCCGACCCUUGUGAAAAUGUAUUUUUUUAGAAAUGAGGUGACGCACUUGCUUUCAUUGGUCGGGAGUGUGAUGGCUUCCACCCAUUUGGAUACAUAAUCAACCGUCACCAAAAUGUAUUUAUUCCCAAAUGAACUCACAAAAGGACCCAUGAAAUCAAUUCUCCAUACAUCAAAGAGUUCCACCUCAAGGUUAGGAUUUAGGGGCAUCUCAUGCCUUCUUGAAAUACCCCAUGCAUUUGACAUUUGUGAUAAGAUUAAAUCCAUUCAAUGGCAUCCCUAUACAUUGAAGGCCAAUAAAACCCGCAUUGGAUAAUCUUUGUGGUGGUUCGAAUUCCUCUAUGGUGACCGCCAUAAGGAAAAGAGUGACAAGCUUCCAAGAUAUCAUUUAUUUCAAUAUCCAUGACACACCACCUAAUAACUUCAUCGGCAUAUUCCCGAAACAAAAAUGGUUUAUUCCAAAAAUAUCAUUUUGCAUCAAUAAAAACAUUUCUUUUAAUGGUAACUCAAUCUUUUGGGGAGUACUCCACUCGCUACAUAGUUGGCAAAGUCGGCAUACCAUGGUGUAUUAUUACCCUCAAUAGACAUGAUCAAUUUUUUGGGGAAACCAUCAUCAAUUUUUAUUUCCCCAUGUUUUUGUUUGUUGCCUUCAAGUCGAGAUAGAUAAUCGACCACUUCAUUUUCACACCCUUUUCGGUAUUUUACCUCAAAGUUGAACUCUUGUAAUAGAAAAAUCCACCUAAUUAAAUAUGGUUUUGCUUCUUUUUUGGCCAUGAGAUACUUAAGGGUGGAGUGGUCCGUAUGUACCACUACUCUCGUGUCUAACAAAUAGGCCUGAAACUUUUCAAAGGCAUAUACUACCGCUAACAAUUCUUGCUCAGUGAUGGUGUAGUUGUGUUGGGUGUUAUUCAAGGUUUUGAUUGCAUAGUAGAUAAGAUGAAAUAGCUUGUCCUUGUGUUGCCCUAGCACCACACCCAAUGCAAUACCACUUGCGUCGCACAUUAUCUCAAACGGUAAUGACCAAUUCGAGGCCACAAUAAUGUGGGCUAAAAUGAGUAAUUCCAUAAGAUGUUUGAAAACUUUCAAACAUGCCUCAUCAAAGUUGAAUUUAUAUUCCUUCUUAAAAAUUUUACACAUAAGGUGCACUAUCUUGGAAAAAUCCUUGAUGAAACAUAGAUAGAACCCGUCAUGGCUGAGGAAACUUCGAACACCUUUUACGGAAAUAGGAAGUAGGAGCUUAGAAAUUACCUCAACCUUGGCUUGAUCGACUUGAAUGCCCUUUCCUAAUAUCUUGUGGCCUAGUACGAUCCCUUCUUUGACCAUAAAGUGGCAUUUUUCCCAACUCAAGAGAAAGUUUGUUUCCACUCACCUUUCAAGAACUUUGUUCAAAUGUUUGAGGCAUGACUCGAAAGAGUUCCCCACUAUUGAGAAUUUGUCGAUAAACACUUUCAUAGAGUCCUCAACCAUAUUCAAAAAUAUUGACAACAUGCAAUGUUGAAGGUUGUUGGGGCAUUACAUAAACCAAAGGGCAUUCUCUUGAAUGCAAACAUACCAUAUGGGCAAGUAAAAGUUGUCUUUUCUUAGUCCUUCGGUGUGAUACAAAUUUUAUUGUACCCUGGGUACCCAUCCAAGAAACAAUACCACUCUCUCCGUGCAAGCCUAUCUAGCAUCUGAUCCAUGAAGGGCAUUGAAAAAUAGUCUUUCUCAGUCUAUGAAUUCAGUUUUUGGUAGUCCAUACACACACGCCAUCUGGUGACUGGUCGGACUGGGAUGAGAUCAUUUUUUAUUUUUGACUACCGUGAUACCACCCUUCUUUGGAACAUAUUGUACCGGGCUCACCCACGUGCUAUUGGAUAUAGGAUAUAUCAGUCCCACAUCGAGCCACUUUAUAAUUUCCUUGUUUACUACCUUUUGCAUGGGUUGGUUUAAUCUCUUUUGGUGCUCCACACUAGAUAUGUGAUCUUGUUCAAGUUUAAUUUUGUGUGAGCAAAUGUCGGAGGCUAUUCUGAUGAUAUCAAUUAUCAUUCAACUAACGUCCCGAAUGGAUUUCUUCACUGCCAACUUUAAUGCUUCUACUUGAGAGGAGUUUAGGUCACUAGCAAUAAUGAUUAGCAACGUAUCAUCCUCUCCCAAGAACACAUAUUUGAGAUGAGGUGGCAAGGUCUUCAAUUCGAUUUGGGAGGUUCAAGGAUGGAUGGUUUUAUGGGUAGACUUUCUUGAUUUUUUAGAUCAAUAUCUAACUUAAUCAGGUUCUUGGUGUAAAACCCAAGCCCAAUUAAAGAUGCUACCACCUUAUCAUACACCUCCACUUCUUCUCUUUCAAAAUUCCAUAGCACUCUAACUAAAGGGUCAUCAACAAAUCCACAUCAAUAUGGUUUGACACUUCUCCAUCAAUAACAUCAAUCACCGAGAUAACUUGUAGGUCCAUUGGUUGUUUCAUUGACUUGCAUACGUUGAAGGAUACCUCCUCAUCAUUCAAUCUAAACUUCAUUUCCCUGGACUCCACAUCUACCAACGCCUUCCAGGUAGCUAAAAAUAUCCUCCCAAUGAUAAUAUUAAUUUUGACGUCCAUUGCACAAUCCAAAAUAACAAAGUCGGUUAGGUAGAUAAACUUGUCCACUUUUACUAGAACAUCAUGGAGGGCUCCCAUAGGAUUUUUGAUGGAUCGAUUGGCGAUGAGCAACUUCAUUUUUGUGGGAUUUGGCUUACCAAACCCAAGUUUUUGAAAUAUACCUUAAGUCAUAAGGUUCACACUUUCUCCAAAUCAUACAAUGCCUUAGCAACAGUGAAUGUGUCGAUAGUGCAUCAGAUUGUAAAACCACCGGGAUCCUUCUUCUUUUUAACAUAUGCGCAUGUAAUAAUGGAACUACAAUGGUGAGUCGCCUCUAUGGUUUUGUCCUCCAACAACUGCUUUUUAGAUACCAAAUCUUUCAUAAAUUUAGCAUGCCCCAGCAUGUCUUACAACAUCUUAAUAAGUGGAAUAUUAAUAGAAAGGGUACUAAAUUUAUCAAAAAACUUGUUUACCUUAUCAUGUUCUCCCUUUCUUAAGGGCCAUUAUGUGAAAGAAGGAUGAAUGGUAUUUUAUGGCAUAAAGACAAUUUGACAAUCAUUAACUAUUGGUGUUCCUAUUAAUAGCUCACUUAGCUUUGGCUCUUCGUCGCUGGAUCUUUUUCUUUUGGCUUUUAUCUCCUCCCCACUUUGCAUUUCUUCACAUUGCUUUUCCAUGAGAUACCUUGAUACUUGUCUUACUUUUACCUCUAGUUAUUGGAUGGCAGUGGAUUAAGAUGUAACUGUUUUAUGGAGCAUGUAAAAUUCACUUUGCAUCUCAUUCACUAUUUCUCCGGACCUCUCAACACUACUCAAAAUCUGUACCAAAAUAUCUCUAUGGAUUUUCUAUUUUCUUUCACUAUGUGCCAAGCUUAGAUGUUCCCGGUUCCAACCUUGAUUCUCGUCUUAUCCUUGUGGGGCAAGAUGGAAAUCCUUCGAGCUUCUAGGAUCAUACCUAACUUGUCACCAAUCUCCUCCACCUUUGUGUCUAGUUCAACUUCUAUUACACUUAUCACACUCACACUUUCCAGUUAGUCACCUAACAUAUGCUCAAGUAGGAGUUUGAGGCAUGACAUUACUUUGUCCACUUUUUAAUAGUAUCCUCCUCUUAAUUUUUUUUAUCACAGUACACAAAGUAUGAGGAGGGAUCCCCCAUGGCCACCUCGUCAUCCUUUAUGUCUUAACCCUUACACCAAAUUGCCACUUGGGACAAAAUUUUUGAAAAAAUCCUAUAUGACAAGUUGAUGAAUGAUCCAUUGGAUGUGUUGUACACCAUAGCCUUAUUUUGUUGGUCCAAUGCUCUAUAAAAGAUUUGGAGAAGCAUCUUCUUCGGGACCUCAUAGAUGAGGCAUUUCAAAAGUGUUUCCUUGAAUCUUCCCCAAGCAUCGUACCAUGUUUCUUCGUGAUAUUAGCGGAAAUAAACAAUCUCAUCCCUCAAUAAUUUCCUACACUCCUUUAGAAAAUGAGGAGGCACUUAAUGUGUAUCAGCCUGAACCCCUUCAAGAAUAUCAUCUCCUUUUGGCUCUGUCAUCCUACUAGGUAUUUGUAGGAUCCUCUAUGGAUUUAGAUUCAGUAGGAGUAAGGGAUUGAAUCUACUAUGCGUGUUAGGCAUACAUCGGUGUAUACCCAGCUAAGAACAAGAAAAUAAAUACCCAAUCACUUCAACAACUUUGAUUCACAACUCAACACCGUACUCCUCGGCUAUGGCGCCAAAAUUUUGAUAAUUCCCAAGAUAUACCUUUAUUAUUAAGAUAAUAUGGUCUUUGUCAAAUAUAGUAACCCAAAAAAGGUUGGGGUUAAAUCCCAAGGGAAUAUAUGGAAUUAUGAUUCUUAACUGCUAUAAUCAACGGGCAGGACUAGGAAAGUAAAUGGGAGGAUUGUAGUGGCAAUAUCAAACAAGCAACAAUAUCAAUUCCAGUUAUAAUCAGUCGUAGAUGAAGACUAGGAUUAUGUCCCCCUGGAUUCUCAACUCAAUAGGCUUAUCGUGCUUUAUUGAACCAACCUAAUACCUUGCAUGCAAAAUCUAAUAAGUUAAGUACCAUCAAUUGUCUUCUGGACUAGUUGAUAGAUUUCACCUUUUACCUUUUGAGUCUCAGGAUGUCACCAUACUAACCCUUAUCCUGGAUCCUAGUUAACUAUUACCUUUAGGUCUCUAGUUAUUAGAUGAUAGUUAAUGAUCUUACUUAGAUAAUACCUAUUAGCAUGGAUCGAUGGUUAAUCUUCAAAUUACUGUUGUAAUUAUCUUUUCCUAGUCAGUACUACUUUUUCGAGUAAGUAGCAAUAAUCUAGGCGGGAUCCUAACGUUUACAACCGCUAAGACGUCUAUUAAACUGAAUAUAAUACAAUACAUGCAUGGGUAUCAGUUCAAAACAACAUAGAACUUUUCCUACUUCAUCAAAACGCCAGGAUUUCCACAACUCUAGCCAAGGGUUUUAGCCGCUCAUGCUUGUGAAAUAAUCAACAAUAUUCAUACUUGAAAUAAUUAGAUUAAAUCACAAUAAUCACAAUUGAAAAUCCAAAACUUCAACAACUAAAUUAACAACCAAAAUUAAUACAAAAUAAUUCCAAGAUCAAAUUCGAAUCUCAGAAUCACAAUAUAUGUUUGUGAGUAUAAAGAGUGUGUAACCUCCACUAAUAACACAUAAAGGGUAUAUAUAGUACAUGAGGAAACCCUAAAAAUCAAAGCUCGAAUGAAAAAAGAAAAAUUGGAGUCGAUGGCCAUCGACUUGGGCCACAUAUGGCUCGUAUGUACUGCAUACGGUCCGCAAGUAGACCCAGGUAAGUGCUAGAAAGUUUUCUUGCGGCUUUGCACGCUCUGUAUCUUGACUUCUGCUACUUAUCUUAGCUACUUACUGACUGUAAGUACAACAUACGGUCUGCAAGUGGACCCAGGUAAGUGCCAGAGUUUUUCAAAUUCUUACAACUAAGUCUCUAGACUUCAAUUUCUAGUACAUGCUUUGGUCACAUUUUCCCGGUAAGUGCUACAUACGGCCAAAAAUACUCAAGUAAGUAGCCAAAAACUCCCUUUUUCAUAUUUUUCUUGAACUUAGCAUCCAAAACAUAAUUUCUUGCAAAACAUACCCAAAACACAUCAUAUCUAAUAAAACACCCUAAGAAUCAUGCAUAUUUUCAUAGUCUUAAGGGUCAAAAGUGUUAUAAAUUCAUAGCACAUCAUCUACGCAGAAAAGAAUGGAAAACAAGUUUAUAAAGUUGGGUAUGAACAAACUACAUGACAAGGAAUCAAAUUAGAAAAGUUUUUUCUAAAGAUAUAUUAUAGCCUCUCAAAGAUAUAUGCGGAUGUCUGCGUACCGAUCUGCUAGACUCUUCUAGACAUCCUGAUCUUACUCUUAUGAGACUGGUGAACUUGGAUCUGAUACCAAUUGUCAAAACCCAAAAUGAAAUCAUGAUGGUACUUAUCGCGACCCAACCUUGAUAACUAAUCUAAUCAUCCAAAAGGGAAAGAAAUUCUCGACAAGUAACAAUAAUAAUAAGACAAAACUUCUAAAGAGAAUUCAAGCCAACUCAAAACAUAAAUAAUGAGGAAGUUUGAAAGAAAUAAAAUAAAAUCCCCAAAAAUCUGGUGUCAUGAGUGUAGAGUGUCUAAUAUUCAUUCAAAUUCAAGAAAGGUACAAUGUCCAUCUCUAAAAAUAAGUAAAGACAUAAUAAAAGUAAGAGGAGGUCCGAAAGUCAACUCUGGUCCUGGAGCAAUCAGUAGCCCAAACAUAAUAUAAAAACACGAUCAACCCUGCGUGUCAUACUUAAACUAGGAUCUGCACCAAAGGGAAACAUUAGGGGUGAGUACAGUCCACUUGUACUCAAUAGGUAUCAUAGGUCAACUGAGUAAAGCAGAAAAUAAUAUAAGUAAAGAAACUAUGACACGUCACCUGCAAAUGGAAAGUUCCCAAAUGGCAUCUCACAUCAUCUCCACUAAUAGUUCUAACAUAAAUAUUGAAAUAAAACAAUACAAAUAUACACGAAGAGUACACAGAAACUAAACACAAGCUAAGGGGAACUAAAUAAAUCAUGAAAGAUACAUAUGACUUUCUAUCUAUACCUACUGAGCUCACAAAUCCUAAGAUAGGACCGGUGGAGGGUUCAAAACUCAUAUACUAUAACUCAUAUCUCAAAUCUCAACCCACUUCUCUGGCUCAUAUUCAUGGAAAAGGUUUUUAUGAAAAAAAAUUCAAAAUAGUGUUUCUCAAUAGUACCAGUAUCUCAUGAUUGUAUAUGUAUGGAAUAAGGAUGUAAUGCUUACAAUAAAAACAGUAAGAAGAUAUUCAAUCCAUUCAAUACACAUAUAAGUGAGCCUAUAAAUCAACUCAAUAUAUUCACAAUUCAUAAUUAUCAACUCUAACUAGGCACCAUCAAAAUAAAUAUGCAUGCAAGACAUUAUUAAUAUCAUAUCAACCCUUAAUUCAUGCAUUGGAGCUUACCCAAGCUCAAAUGAUGAAGCAAAGCCUAAAAAAGGCCCAAACCCGAAGCUUAAAGUCCAAAAAUAAUAGAAUAUCGAGAAAAAGAGGUGUUAUAUAUAGCUCUUGAUGCUUAAGAGGCUUCUACUAAAGAGACUAUCGCUUAAGUGAGGUCGGGCUGCUAAAGACCUAUAGCUUAAGCGGUCAUGAGCCUGACGCUUAAGCGGACGCACCAUAUAUCAACAAUUACUAAUUUUGGUGCAAACCUACCAAGAUACGAACGGACCCUUGGGAUUUGAUUGGCAUCCGACAGAGACAAAUCAUAUAUGCUACCAGGCUAAUUUUAACAUUCUGGACUCAAUAAUGGUGUGGGUUUUUUGAAAAAACAUCAUUUUCAAAAAAUUAACCCACUGAAACCUAUAAGGCAUAUUUCACUAGUUUUCAAAUUGAGGGUCAAAACAUAAACUAAAGGUACCGAACCCGAACCAACCCUAAUACUAAUCCAAAUUUGACAUUCUGGAUUCAAUGGAACUGUCCAAAUUUCCAUCCCACACUUAGAACAUCAAAUGUUUACUAAAGUCAACUAUGAAACUUUUAAAACCUCUAAAAAUCACAAACUCUCUCAAAUUACUUCCAAAUACAUCAGGAGUUGUGACAACCAUCCCCACACAACAGAAUCAACAUAUAGCAACUAUAGGAAAGGUCAAAACACAUAAAAACAAGAUUUCACACUUCAUGUCAUUACAUCUAAUUUGAAAACACUAAACCUUUAUCAAAUGCCAACUCCUAAAUUCAUAUUUUUAGGGAAACUUUAUUUUUUUAGAUCAUUUGUGGUUUCUUUUAUUUUUAUGACCAUUUUACGAGAGAUUUUCAUUUUUACACAUAAGAAAUUUUUAUUUUUAGUAAUAAGAUAUUAAAGAGGCUUAAUGCAUCGUUAUCCCCUUAAAUAACUUAAGAUAUUUUAUUUAGACACUCAAUCUAAUCCUUGUUCCAAUUAAACAUGACAACUCCUAACAAAUGUUUCAAUUAGACACUUGUGAUUUAAAUCUAGAAAAAAAAAAUUUGAGUGUAUUUUCAUUCGUCUAUUAGAUAGUUAAGUUAAUUACAUAAAAUAUUUUAUCUCUUAAAUACUCAUCAACCUCAAGUAGGAAAUAUCUAUUUUUAUGGCUUAUUAAUGAAGCUCAAUAAGGAAAUAACAUACUUGAUUACAUAACAAACUUGUGGUGUAUAUAUGCCAGGAAUUGCACCAUAGCCAGAGUCAAAUGAGGGCCAAAUCUUGAUGUAUAAAGGAACUCCCAAUUUGAGGCGGGUUUCCACAAAAAAGAUACUUUCAAAAAAGGAUGAGCACGAUUGAAAUGGCUAUACAUACAAAUCUAUAAUAAGAACAACACAAAUUCUUUUCCAAAAUUUGAACUGAAAUCUAAUUGAAACAUUGUGUUAGGAGUUAAAGCAUUCAAUCAAAACAUUCAAGUAUGUAGGGCCUACUUGUCCGUAUGGGAUGAAAUCAUGAUUUGAAGUAAUAAGAAAUGAAGUUGAAGUUUUGUUUGGACAUGAAAUUUGGGAUUUGAAGUUGUAUUUUUUUUCUUAUAAAUUAAAAUAAAUCUCACAAUUUGUGAAAAAUAUCAAAAUUUUCCCAAUUCUUUAUACAAUCUUAUAAAUAAGCAAAAGUUUAUAAUAAAAGCAUAAUACACUAUAGCAAAACUUUUCAAAAAAAAUACAAUAUUUAUUGAUCAAAUGAAAAAUUUGAUAAAUGAUAGGUAGGAGUUGAUUUGAAGUAAUAAUAAAUUUUGUAGGCAUUUGAUCAUGACAAAAAAAAAUUGGAACUGAACUUGAAGUCGGAGUUGUGUUUGGUCGUAUCUUUUUUUGGAGAGAAUUUUUAACUAUAAAGGCGAAGUUGAUUUUAAAAAAAAAAAAAGUGAACAAGUUUGAGACAUGUUUUCACUUUUCUAAACAAAACGUCAAGUUGUAUUUGAAGUUUUUAUGGCCAAACAUCAUUUUUAUAAUGAAAAGUUUCCUUUUUAAAAAAAAGUGAAUAUUUCUCAUGAACAAACAAUGCUAUAUGUUGGUGAGAGUUAUGGUUAAAUCAGAUAUAAAUAAUUUAAAGAUUGGUAAAAGUAAUAAUAUAAACUAUAAAUUUUAUUUAGGGAUAACGACAUGCCUUAUCAAACAUAGACUCCUAAUAUUCUAUUUAGCCUAAGUUUCGAUUAAUUACCCUCCAUAACCUAUAUUGCCAAUUAAAUAUAAUUUAUAGUCUCCCUCUUUAUUUUCUCUCUUUCUCUACCUUUUAUUUCUCUUUUUACUUCUUUUUUUCUUUUUCUAUUUUUCUUCUUCUUUUUUCUUUUUCUUCUUUUUUUCGUUUUUCUCUUUCUUUUUUGUUUUUUCAUUUUUUUCAUUUUUAGUUUUCUCGUUUCCAUCUUUUCUCUUUUUUAUUUCUAAGUUUUCAUCUUUUUUUAAUUUCUUUUUUCUUUUCAGACUUUUUUUGUAUUUUCUUUGAUUCUAUUUUGUUUUGUAGGUCAUUUUUUCUCUUUUUUUUUGUUUUUAUAUUUUUUUCUCUCAUUUUUUUUGUUGCUAUUGAUUUGCAUUUUAUAUUUUAUAUGUUUUUUAUAUUUUAUACUUAUUUGUAUCAUACUAUAUAUCUUAAAUAAAUAUAUUAUUUAUAGUAGAAUAGUUUAGUUGUGAAUAUGUACAAUUUAUCAUUUAUAUUUAUGUACAAAUAAGAAUAUUGAUUAAUUAUAUUUUCUUAAGACUAAAAUAAUAUUUACAAUGUGUCAUUCAAUGCAAAUAUAUCAUUGGUAUUUGUAUUUCAAAUUUUUUAUUUAUAUUUGUAUAUAAACAAGUAUCAUUUUGUACGUAGAUGGUUCAAGUUACAUAAACAUGUAUCAUUUGAUACAAAUAUAAUAUUUGUAUUUGUAUAAUUUAUUAUUUUUAUUUUUAGUGUUCAAUUUGCAUCAAUAAAAUACAAAUUAUAUCAAUGAUAUAAAUACAAGUAUUCAUAGAAAGAAAAACAACAAUUCUUUUUCAGUUGUUUAAAAAUACAAAUGACGUUGUCAACUACAACUUCAAUUACAAACAAAUGAAAUUACAAAUACAAGUACAAUAUACAGUCAACUUACAAAUAUAAAUACAAAAUACAAGUGUGAACUAUAAAAUACAAAUACAGAUGUGAACUAUAAAAUAUAAAUACAAACGUGAACUUUAAAAUACAAAUACAAAUAUAAUUAUAUCAACAAAUAUAAAAAUAUAAAUGAUGGUGUGAAUACAAAUAUGUUAAGCAAUUAUGGUAUUAAUGUUAUCAUCCAUGACUUGUGCUCAAGUAGCCAUAUUUUUCACAAAUACAAAAAAUAUAAAAUAAAAUUAAAAAACUGAGAAAAAAAUAUAAGUACAAAAAGAAAACCAAAAAAAAAAAAAAAGAAGAAAGAAAAAUAGAAACUAGAGAGAGAAUUAAAAAAAAUGAAAAGAAAGAAACAAAAAAAUAAAAACAAAAUCAUUUUUUUAAAUAAUUUUUUGGUGGUCUUUUAGACCAUUUUAUUUAAACAAAGCCCAAAUGGCUAAAAUUACAUCAAUCCAAAAUCCCAAAAAUCGGAUCAGCUUAACUCGGUGCAACAAAUAGGAAGCUGAAAAGUUUCCUAUUUUCCUAAUAUAUCUAGGGUCUAGGACAAGAGUACAAGACACUUUUAUUUGCUCUCAAAGUUGACUGCCAAGAUGCUACUGGAGUAUUGCCGGUGGAAUUUGAAGCUUUGAUUUUUCUUUCUUUGGGUUCUGUUCCAGCUGAAUCCAGUGUAGGUCUUGCAUGAACUCUUUCUAUCAAUUUCACUUCUAUCAGGUGAUGAUUUCUUCCCUUGUUCUUGAUUCAUUUGCGCAUCAGUUGCUAAACUUUCAUUUCUUGGCUUAGGUUGUCGUGAACUUCUUUUAUAUGACCAGAUUAUCUACAAUUCACCCAGGUUUAGAGUAUUGGACUCCCCUUUAUCUCCAUAUAGUAGUUGAAGAAGCUGGAACAAAUCCCUACCCCUCCUUUUUUGGUGAAGGUUUUUAUUAGCUAGGGUUUCAAUUCUAGUCAUAGGUAGCACAGAUCCAACGUUUUCUUCCGGGCAUACAGUUAAUCUCCUAUUAUUCUGCUUUUUGUUCCCCUCUGCUUUUGCAUGUUGGAACUUAAAGUAGCAUGUUGUUUUCUUGUAAAUAUAUGUGAUGCUUUUGCUGUUUAUUGCUGAAUUAUCCUCCUCAUCUCAACUCUAAUGUAUGGAAUUUGGUCUUUAUCCAUAUUUAGUAGCUUUUUUUUCUUUACUGGUAGUUGUUGAAAAGUAUGAAAUUCUUACAUGCCUUGUGUUUACACCUCCCCAUUUACUAAAGAUUUUGCCAUUGCAUUCCCUUCCCUAAAUAUAUGAGUGAUUGUAACAUUUAGAAAUUGAAUAUAUUCUCUAAUCUCUUCAAUAGUUACUGCUAGCUCCCAAGGAAUUCCCCACAAUCUUAGUUUCAUUUGCUUAAGGCUUAGAGAGUCUGUUUCUAUGAUGAAAUCUUUAAAAUCAUUCUCAUAACAGUACUCUAAAGUCUCUUUAAUAGCAAUUGAUGCUGCUUCAGUAUUUGUACUAAAUCCCAAACCUUUAGCUCUAGCAUAAAUUAGGUCACUUUUAUUAUCCCUUAUGCAAAACCCAUAUGCACUCAUCCAUGGAUUUCCUAUACAAGCUCCAUCCGUGUUGCAUUUUGCCAUCAUGGAUUCUGAUGUCUUUCAUACCACCUAAUGAUAAUGCAAUUUUUGUUUAUGCGCCCUGAUGUAGUCCAUCACUUCUGGCCAUGUCCAAACCUUCACCUUUAUCCAUGGAUACAAGCUCUUAAUCAUCUUCUUUAUGAUAUUCUGGACUUGUAAAACUAUCCCUUUAAAAUUAAUAAAACCUUCCUGUUUAAUAUAAUUCCUCCUUCUCUAUAUUUUCCACAUAAGUAUGGCUGGAACAGCUCUAAAAAUCAUAUUCAUCUUUGGUGUUGUGUCCUUAGUCCACCAUGAUACAAUCAUCUAUUAUAAUUGCAUGUUCUCCACUUUUAUUCCUGCAAAAUGAGCAAACUGCCUCCAAAGCCUUAAGGCUAAGGGGUUUGUUAGUAAAACAUGAGUCAUGGUCUUCUCCCUUCUAUCUUCACAACACCAACAUCUUGAUACUAACUGAAUCUGCAUUCUCUUUAGGUUUUCAUCUUUAGGUAUCUUUCUCAAGCACACCUUUCAUAAGAAGAAAUUAUACUUAAAAGGCAAACCUUUGUGCCAAAUAAAAUCAUAAUCACUUCUCUGUUCCUCUUUAUGUUUGAUAACAUCCCAGGCAGACCCGACUGUAAACCGACCAUUUGUGCUUCCCAUCCACCAUGGUAUAUUAUUCUAAUGUCCAUCCAAAAUAGGCUUUACAGUUUCUAGUAUCAAUUCCACCAUCUCUUCAAAUAAACAUGAUGACAGUAUUUGCUUGUCUUAUUCCCUAUUUUUUUUAAGUUCUUUAUCUCUAUAUUCUCAUCUUGAAAUCCCUCUCCUUCAAUAUAAUACAAAGCACCUUGUUUAGUCCAAUUAUCAUACCAAGAACUUGAGUUACUAGCUUUCACCUGCCACCAUAUGUUGUGUUCCACCUCCUCUCUAAUGGAAAUCAUUUUCCUCCACACAUGUGAUGCUCUAAUUCCUUUAGAUAGUAAAGCGUGAAGAUUUUUGCAAUACUUAUUCCACAUGAAUUAACUCCACAUAGAUGAAGUAAAAGUUUUGAAAUUCCACCAAAGUAUUACAAAAAGUGCACUGGACAUAUCAUGCAAAGAUCUCAAACCAAGUCCUCUUUCCUUUUUUAAAGAACACAUUAACUCCUAAGAGACCCAAUGUUUAUUUUUUAAACCUGUUGCAUUACCCCAGGAAAAUUUUGCAAAAAUCUUGUGUAGUUGAUUAACUUCACUCACUGGGGGGUUCAUGAUUGAAAGAAUAUAAAUGGGCAUAUACUGCAAAACACAAACAAUUAAGAUAUAUAUCCUCCCAUAAGAAAGUAAUCUAUUUUUCCAUAAAUUUAACCUCUUCAUCACCUUUUUAUGAGAUCCUCAUAGUGUCACUUAUUUUUUCGACCAUAAAAAAUUGGACAACCCAAGUAAGUAAAAGGGAACUUACCUUGCCUUAUACUAGUUAUCCUCUUAAUACUAUCGCUCACAGUUGUGGGAACUUUCUCAUGCAAAUAAAUCAAACUCUUAUCUAGAUUGAUCAUUUGAGCAGAGGUAUUCUCAUAUUUCCUCAAAAUUGUCAUCAUCUUUUUCAUUGAUUUAGGUUAUCCAGAGCAGAAAAGAAUAGUACCGUCAGCAUAGGAUAGGUGGUUAAUAUUAGGGCUCCACUUAGGCAUUUUAUAUCCUCUAAACUCUGGAUCAUUGAACAACUUAUUUAAGUUCCUUGAUAGAACUUCAGCGGAGAUAAUAAACAAAGUAGUGAUAAGGGGUCUCCUGCUUCAGACCUCUUGAUGACUGAAAGAAAAAAAACUAAAUCAUCUAUUUGAUUUUUUCUUGUUUUUAUUUAUUUUUUACGGUCUUUUCUUAUUUUCUUUUUUUUUUGUAUUUUCGUUCUUGUUUCUUUUUUUGUUAGUUUUUCUCCUUAUUUUUCUUUUUUUCAUUUUUUCAUUUUUUAUAUUUUAUUUUUCUUUUCUCUUAUAUUUUGUUGGUGUUUUCAUAUUUUAUAUUUUUUAUAUUUUAUAUUUAUUCGUAUUAUACUAUAUAUUUUAAAUAAAUUUAUUAUUUGUAUUUGAAUAGUUCAACCGUGAAUAUAAUUUAUCAUUUGUAUUUGUAUACAAAUAAAUAUAUGGAUUAAUUGUAUUUACUUGAGUCUAAAAUAUAUAAAUAUGAAAUGUGUCAUUCUAUGCAAAUGUACCAUUUGUAUUUGUAUAUUAAGUUUAUCAGUUGUAUUUGUAUAUAAAUAUCAUUUGUAUGCAUAUGGUUCAAGUUGUAUAAACAUGUAUCAUUUGAUACAAAUAUAACAUUUGUAUUUAUAUAAUUUAAAAUUUUUAUUUUUAUAAUUUACCAUUUAUAUUUGUAUUGUUCAAUAAAAUAUAAUUCGUAUCGAUGAAUACCAAUACAAGUGUACGUAGAAAAAAUGAUGAAGCAAACCCUAAAAAAGGCCCAAACCCGAAGCUUAAAGUCCAAAAAUAAUAGAAAAUCGAGAAAAAGAGGUGUUAUAUACAGCGCUUGAUGCUUAAGCGACUUCUACUAAAGCGACUAUCACUUAAGUGAGGUCUGGCUGCUAAAGAGCUAUAGAUUAAGUGGUCAUGAGCCAGCCGCUUAAGCGGACGUACCAUAUAUCAAUAAUUACUGAUUUUGGUGCAAGCCUACCAAGAUACGAACGGACCCUUGGGAUUUGAUUGGCAUCCGACAGAGACAAAUCAUAUAUGCUACCAGGCUAAUUUUAACAUUCUGGACUCAAUAAUGACGUGAGUUUUUUGAAAAAAGAUCUUUUUCAAAAAACUAACCCACUGAAACCUAUAAGGCAUAUUUCACUAGUUUUCAAUUUGAGGGUCAAAAUGUAAACUAAAGGUACCGGACCCGAACCAACCCGACUACUAAUCCAAAUUUGAUAUUCUGGAUUCAAUGGAACUGUCCAAAUUUCUAUCUCACACUUAGAACAUCAAAUGUUUACUAAAGUCAACUAUGAAACUUUUAAAACUUCUAAAAAUCACAAACUCUCUCAAAUCACUUCCAAAUACAUCAGGAGUCGUGCCAACCAUCCCCACACACUAGCAUCAACAUGUAGCAACUAUAGGGAAGGUCAAAAUGGCCAAAACACAUAAAAAACAAGAUUUCACACUUCAUGUCAUUACAUCUAAGUUGAAAACACCAAAACUUUAUGAAAUGACAACUCCUAAAUUCAUAUUUUUAGGGAAACUUUAUUUUUUUAGAUCAUUUGCGGUUUAUGUUAUUUUUAUGACCAUUUUACGAGAGAUUUUCAUUUUUACACAUAAGAAAUUUUUAUUUUUAGUAAUAAGAUAUUAAAGAGGCUUAAUGCAUUGUUAUCCCCUUAAAUAACUUAGGAUAUUUUAUUUAGACACUCAAACUAAUCCUUGUUCCAAUUAAACAUGACAACUCCUAACAAAUGUUUCAAUUAGACACUUGUGAUUUAAAUCUAGAAAAAAAUUUGAGUGUGUUUUCAUUUGUCUAUUAGAUAGUUAAGUUAAUUACAUAAAACAUUAUAUCUCUUAAAUACUCAUCAACCUCAAGUAAGAAAUUUCUAUUUUUACGGCUUAUUAAUGAAGCUCAAAAAGGAAAUAACAUACUUGGUUACAUAACAAACUUGUGGUGUAUAUGUGCCAGGAAUUGCACCAUAGCCGGAGUCAAAUGAGGGCCAGAUCUUGAUGUAUAAAGGAACUACUAAUUUGAGGCGGGUUUCUACAAAAAAAAAUACUUUCAAGAAAGGAUGAGCAUGACUGAAAUGGCUAUCAUACAAAUCUAUAAUAAGAACAACACAAAUUCUUUUCCAAAAUUUGAACUGAAAUCUAAUUGAAACAUUGUAUUAGGAGUUAAAGCAUUCAAUCAAAACAUUCGAGUAUGUAGGGCCUACUUGGCCAUAUGGGAUGAAAUCAUGAUUUUAAAUAAUACGAGAUGAAGUUGAAGUUUUGUUUGGACAUGCAAUUUGGGAAUUGAAGUUAUAUUUUUUUCUUAUAAAUUAAAAAAAAAUCUCAUAAUUUGUGAAAAUAUCAAAAUUGUCCCAAUUUUUUAUACAAUCUUAUCAAAUAAGCAAAAGUUUAAAACAAAAGCACAAUACACUAUCACAAAACUUUUCUAAAAAAAUACAAUAUUUAUUGAUCAAAUGAAAAAUUUGAUAAAUGAUAGGUAGGAGUUGAUUUGAAGUAAUAAUAAAUUUUGUAGGCAUUUGAUAAUGAGAAAAAAAAAUUGGAGUUGAACUUGAAGUCGGAGUUGUGUUUGGACAUAUCUUUUUUUGGAAAGAACUUUUAACUAUAAAGGCAAAGUUGAUUUUAAAAAAAAAAAGGUGAACAAGUUUGAGACAUGUUUUCACUUUUCUAAAUAAAACGUCAAGUUGUAUUUGAAGUUUUUAUGGCCAAACAUCAUUUUUAUAAUGAAAAGUUUCCUUUUUAAAAAAAAGUGAAUAUUUCUCAUGAACAAACAAUGCUAUAUGUUGGUGAGAGUUAUGGUUAAAUCAGAUACAAAUAAUUUAAAGAUUGGUAAAAGUAAUAAUAUAAACUAUAAAUUUUAUUUAGGGAUAACGACAUGUCUUAGCAAACAUAGACUCCUAAUAUUCUAUUUAGCGUAAAUUUCGUUUAAUUACCCUCCAUGACCUAUCUUGCCAAUUAAAUAUAAUUUAGAGUCUCCCUCUUUAUUUUCUCUCUUUCUCUACCUUUUAUUUCUCUUUUUACUUCUUUUUUUCUUUUUCUAUUUUUCUUCUUCUUUUUUCUUUUUCUUCUUUUUUCAUUUUUCUCUUUCUUUUUUGUUUUUUCAUUUGUUUCUUUUUUAGUUUUCUCAUUUCCAUCUUUUCUCUUUUUUAUUUCUAAGUUUUCAUCUUUUUUUUAAUUUCUUUUUUCUUUUCAGACUUUUUUUGUAUUUUCUUAGAUUCUUUUUUGUUUUCUGGGUCAUUUUCUCUUUUUCUUUUUUUUUUUUAUAUUUUUUACUCUCAUUUUUUUUGUUGUUGUUGUUUUGAAUUUUAUAUUUUAUAUGUUUUUUAUAUUUUAUAUUUAUUUGUAUCAUACUAUAUAUCUUAAAUAAAUAUAUUAUUUGUAGUUGAAUAGUUUAGUUGUGAAUAUGUACAAUUAUCAUUUAUAUUUAUAUACAAAUAAGUAUAUUGAUUAAUUAUAUUUGCUUGAGACUAAAAUAAUAUUUACAAUGUGUCAUUCAAUGCAAAUAUAUCAUUGGUAUUUGUAUUUUGAAUAUUUUAUUUAUAUUUGUAUAUAAACAAGUAUCAUUUUGUAUGUAUAUAGUUCAAGUUACAUAAACAUGUAUCAUUUGAUACAAAUGUAAUAUUUGUAUUUGUAUAAUAUAUUAUUAUUAUUAUUAGUGUUCAAUUUGCAUCAAUAAAAUACAAAUUAUAUCAAUGAAUAUAAAUACAAGUUUUCAUAGAAAGAAAAACAACAAUUCUUUUUCAGUUGUUUAAAAAUACAAAUGACGUUGUCAACUACAAAUUCAAUUACAAGCAAAUGAAAUUACAAAUACAAGUACAAUAUGAGGUCAACUUACAAAUAUAAAUACAAAAUACAAGUGUGAACUAUAAAAUACAAAUACAAAUGUGAACUAUAAAAUUUAAAUAUUAACAUGAACUUUAAAAUACAAAUAAAAAUAUAAUUAUAUCAACAAAUAUAAAAAUAUAAAUGAUGGUGUGAAUACAAAUAUGUUUAGCACUUGUGGUAUUAAUGUUAUCAUCCAUGACUUGUGAUCGAGUAGUCAUAUUUUUCGAAAAUACAAAAAAUAAAAAAUGAAAUAAAAAAAUGAGAAAGAAUAUAAGUACAAAAAGAAAACCAAAAAAAAAAAAGAAGAAGAAAGAAAAAUAGAAACUAGAGAGAGAAUUAAAAAAAUGAAAAGAAUGAAGCAAAAAAAAUAAAAACAAAAUCAUUUUUUAAAAUAAUUUUUUUGGUGGUCUUUCAGACCAUUUUAUUUAAACAAAGCCCAAAUGGCUAAAAUUACAUCAAUCCAAAAGCCCAAAUAUUGGAUCAGCUUGACCCGGUGUAACAAAUAGGAAGCUGAAAAGUUUCCUAUUUUCCUAAUAUAUCUAGGGUCUAGGGCAAGAGUACAAGACACUUUUAUUUGCUCUCAAAGUUGACUGCCAAGAUGUUGUCGAAGUGUUGCCGGUGGAAUUUGAAGCUUUAAUUUUUCCUUCUUUGGGUUAUGUUCCAGCUGAAUCCAGUGUAGGUCUUGCAUGAACUCUUUCUAUUAACUUCACUUCUAUUAGGUGAUGAUUUCUUCCCUUGUUCUUGAUUCAUUUGCACAUCAGGUGCUAAACUUUUAUUUCUUGGCUUAGGUGGUCGUGGACUUCUUUCAUAUGACUAGAUUAUCUACAAUUCACCAAGGUUUAGAGUAUUGGACUCCCUUUUAUCUCCAUAUGGUAGUUGAAGAAGCUGGAACAAAUUCCUACCCCUCCUUUUUUGGUGAAGGUUUUAGUUAGCUAGGGUUUCAAUUCUAGUCGUAGGUAGCACAGAUCCAAUGUUUUCUUCUAAGCGGACAGUUAAUCUCCUAUUACUGUGCUUUUUGUUCCCCUUUGCUUUUACAUGUUGGAACUUAAAGUAGCAUGUUGUUUUCUUGUAAAUAUAUGUGAUGCUUUUGCUAUUUAUUGUUGAAUUUUCUUCCUCAUCUCGACUCUAAUAUAUGGAAUUUGGUCUUUAUCAAUAUUUAGUAGCUUUCUUGUCUUCACUGGUAGUUGUUGAAAAGUAUGAAAUUCGUGCAUGUCUUGUGUUUCUACCUCCCCAUUUACUAAAUAUUUUGCCACUGCAUUCUCUUUCCUAAAUAUAUGAGUAAUUGUAACAUUUAGAGAUUGAAUGUAUUCUUUAAUCUCAUCAAUAGUUACUGCUAUCUCCUAAGGACUUUCCCACAAUCUUUGUGUCAUUUGCUUAAGGCUUAAAGAGUCUGUUUCUAUGAUGAAAUCUUUAAAAUCAUUCUCAUAACAGUACUCUAAAGCCUCUUUAAUAGUAAUUGAUUCUGCUUCAGUAUUUGUACUAAAUCCCAAACCUUUAGCUCUAGCAUAAAUUAGGUCACCUUUAUUAGCCCUUAUGCAAAAACCAUAUGCAUUUUUCCUUGAAUUUCAUAUACAAGCUCCAUCCAUGUUGCAUUUUACCUUCAUGGAUUCUGAUUUCUUCCACACCACCUUAUGAUAAUGUAAUUUUGGUUUAUACGCCCUAAUGUAGUCCAUCACUUCCGGCCAUGUCUAAACCUUCACCUUUAUCCAUGGAUACAAGCUCUUAAUCAUCUUCUUUAUGAUCUUCUGGACUUGUAAAACUAACCCUUUUAAAUUAAUGAAACCUCCCUGUUUAAUACAAUUCCUCCUUCUCUAUAUUGCCCACAUAAGUAUGGCUGGAACAGCUAUAAAAAUCAUGUUCAUCUUUGGUGUUGUGUCCUUAGUCCACCAUGAUACAAUCAUCUAUUAUAAUUACAUGUUCUCCACUUUUAUUCCUACAAAAUGAGCAAACUGCCUCCAAAGACUUAAGGCUAAGGGGGUUGUUAGUAAAACAUGAGUCAUGGUCUUCUCCGUUCUAUCUUCACAACACCAACAUUUUGAUACUAACUGAAUCAGCAUCCUCUUUAGGUUUUCAUCUUUAAGUUGUCAUCUUUAGGUUCAUGCACACCUUUCAUAAGAAGAAAUUAUACUUAAAAGGCAAGUCUUUGUGCCAAAUAAAAUCAUAAUCCCUUCACUGUUCCUCUUUAUGUCUGAUAACAUCCCAAGCAGACUCGACUAUAAACCGACCAUUUGUGCUUCCCAUCCACCAUGGUAGAUUAUUCUAAUGUCCAUCCAAAAUAGGCUUUACAGUUUCCAGUAUCAAUUCCAAUAUCUCUUCAAAUAAACAUGAUGACAGUAUUAGCUUUUCUUACUCCCAACUUUUUUUUAAGUUCUUUAUCUCUAUAUCCUCAUCUUGAAUUCCCUCUCCUUCAACAUAAUACAAAUCACCUUGUUUAGUACAAUUAUCAUACCAAAAACUUGACUUACUAGCUUUCACCUGCCACCAUAUAUUAUGUUCGACCUCCUCUCUAAUGGAAAUCAUUUUCCUCCACACAUGUGAUGCUCCAAUUCCUUUAGCUAGUAAAACAUAAAGCUUUUUGCAAUACUUAUUCCAUAUGAAUGAACUCCACAUAGAUGAAGUAAAAGUUCUGAAAUUCCACCAAAGUAUUGCGAAAAGUACACUGCACAUAUCAUGCAAAGAUCUCAAACCAAGUCCUCUUUUCUUUUUUGAAAAACACAUUAACUCCCAAGAGACCCAAUGUUUAUUUUUUGAACCUGUAGCAUUACCCCAGGAAAACUUUAAAAAAAUCUUGUGUAGUUGAUUUACUACACUCACUGGGGGAUUCAUGGUUGAAAGAAUAUAAAUGGGCAUAUACUGUAAAACACAAACAAUUAAGAUAUAUCUCCUCCCAUAAGAAAGUAAUCUAUUUUGCCAUAAAUUUAACCUCUUCAUCACCUUUUUAUGAGAUCCUCAUAGUGUCACUUAUUUUUUCGACCAUAAAAAAUUGGACAACCCAAGUAAGUAAAAGGGAACUUACCUUGCCUUAUACUAGUUAUCCUCUUAAUACUAUUGCUCACAGUUGUGGGAACUUUCUCAUGCAAAUAAAUCAAACUCUUAUCUAGAUUGAUCAUUUAACCAGAGGUAUUCUCAUAUUUCCUCAAAACUGUCAUCAUCUUUUUCAUUGAUUUAGGUUGUCCAGAGCAGAAAAGAAUAGUACCGUCAGCAUAGGAUAGGUGGUUAAUAUCAGGGCUCUACUUAGGCAUUCCAUAUCCUCUGAACUCUGGAUCAUUGAACAACUCAUUUAAGUUCCUUGAUAGAACUUCAGCAGAGAUAAUAAACAAAGUGGUGAUAAGGGGUCUCCUGCUUCAGACCUCUUGAUGACUAAAAGAAAAAAACAAAAUCAUCUAUUUGAUUUUUUUUGUUUUUAUUUAUUUUUUACGGUCUUUUCUUAUUUUCUUUUUUUUUUUCUAUUUUCGUUCUUGUUUCUUGUUUUGUUAGUUUUUCUCCUUAUUUUUUUUUAUUUUAUUUUUCUUUUCUCUUAUAUUUUGUUGGUGUUUUUAUAUUUUAUAUUUUUUUAUAUUUUAUAUUUAUUCGUAUUAUACUAUAUAUUUUAAAUAAAUUUAUUAUUUGUAUUUGAAUAGUUCAACCAUGAAUAUAAUUUAUCAUUUGUAUUUGUAUACAAAUAAAUAUAUGGAUUAAUUGUAUUUACUUGCGUCAAAAAUAUAUAAUAUGAAUUGUGUCAUUCUAUGCAAAUGUACCGUUUGUAUUUGUAUAUCAAGUUUAUCAGUUGUAUUUGUAUAUAAAUAUCAUUUGUAUGCAUAUGGUUCAAGUUGUAUAAACAUGUAUCAUUUGAUACAAAUGUAACAUUUAUAUUUAUAAUUUAAAUUUUUUAUUUUUAUAAUUUACCAUUUAUAUUUGUAUUGUUCAGUAAAAUAUAAUUCGUAUCAAUGAAUAUCAAUACAAGUGUACGUAGAAAGAAAAAAUGUAAUUCUUUUUUAAUUAUUUAAAAAUAUAAAUGAUAUUAUCAACUACAAAUCCAAAUACUAAAAAAUGAAACAAGUAAAAUUACGAAUAUAAAUGCAAUAUGUGGUCAGUUUACAAAUACAAAUACAACAUAUUUUUUAAAAAAAUACAAGUACAUUGACGAAAAUAGAAUACAAAUACAAACAAAAUGAAAUCAACAAAUACAAAUAUAACAUGCAGUCAUCUAUAAAAUACAAAUACAAAAUAAUUUUUUAAAAUACAUAUGUAAAUUUUAUAAAAUAUAAAUGAUGGCGAGAACUACAAUCUAAUGCGAGCUAUAAUACAAAUACAAUUGUAUCCACGAAUACAAGAAUAUAAUGAUGGUGUGAAUAUGAAAUAUAACUACAAGUGCGAAUUAAAAAAUACAAAUACAAAUACGAACUAUAAAAUACAAAUACAAGCCUGAACUAUAAAAUACAAAUACCAUUUGAUCAAUGAAUACAAAAAUAUAAAUAAUAGUGCAGAUACAAACACAAUAAGUGAUUGUGGUAUUUUCGUUAUCACUCAUGACUUAUACUUGACAUAGCCAUAUUUAUCGAAAAUAUAAAAAAUAUAAAAUAAAAUUAAAAUAAAAUAUACAAAAAGAAAGAGAAAUAAAAGUUGCAGAUAGAAAAGAGGAAAAAAAGAAAAAAAAAGAAAUGAAAAAUAAAAAUAGAAAAAAAAGAAAAAACAAAAAUAAGAAAAAGAAAAAAGAAGAAAACAACCAAAAAAAAAGGGAAAACAUGAAAAAAAAAUGAGAAAGAAAAUAUAAAAAAAAAAAUGAAAAGAUGAAAAGAUGAAAAACAAAAACAAAAAGGAAAAAAAAAAGGAAAAAAAAAAAAAGAGAAAUGGAAGUUAUAGAUAGAAGAGAGGAAAAAAAUGAAAAAAGAAAAUAGAAAUAGAAAAAAAUCAAAAAGUAAAAGAACAAAAUAACUGAUGGUGAAUACGAACACAAUGGAUGAUUAUGAUGUAUCUGUCAUCAUCAAUGACUUGUACUCGACGUAACCAUAUUUUUUGAAAGUAUAAAAAAAUAAAAAAUAUAAAAUACAACCAAAAAAAGAAAAAAAAAAUAAGAAAAAAAAACAAAGAAGGAAAAAAUGAAAAAGAAGAAAAAGAAGUAGUGUCAAGAGAUAUAAGAGAGGAAUAAAAAGAAGGAAACGGAAAAGAAAAGAAAAGAAGAAAAAAGAGAAAGAAAGGCUAUAAAUUGAGAUUUCCAAAGUUAGGAUAAGAACAAUCCCAUUUUGUUGAAAUAUAGACCAUUUUUUAAAGUCCCCAAAUAUAAAUGAUGGGGUUCUUUUCACAAAAUAUAAAUUUUUGAGUUAAUUUUUAGGAAAAAUCACAUAAAUAUACUAUUUAAGAAUUAAUAUUAUCAAACAUACCGGUAUUAUUUUUUACUUAUAAAAUAUAAUUUUAUAAAUAAAAUCUAUCAACUAUUCAGAUAUCAGUUUAUAUAAGAAAAAAACGAACCGAUUUUAAGGGAGUAGUUAUUUGGGUUUAUUGUUUGGUGGUUAUCAUAGGCAAGUGAACUUAAUUUUAGGAAUUUGUUAUCUUUUUAUCCAUAUCUACACAGAAGGUAAAAUUAAAUUUAAAAAAUCGCUCUCAAUUCGGUCUCCUUUCUUCAUUGUAACAACCUUAUUUUCCCACCUACGAAACAACUAAAAAUCAACUAAAAUCUAUGGUGAAGUGAAGAUUUCAUCUUCUUCGCUAUUGUCUUUAUCUAUAUAUAUAUAUAUAUAUAUAUAUAUAUAUAUAUAUAUAUAUAAUUGGAGUAUUAAUAAUUUUAUGGUGCGUGAAUUUUAUAGAAAUAGGUGUAUUAAUAAUUUUAUGGUGUCUGAAUUGUAUAUAAAUUGAUGUAUCAAUAAUUGUGUGGUGUCCAAACUGUAUAGAAAUUAGUGUAUCAAUAAUUUUAUGGUAUCUGAACUAUAUAGAAAUUGGUGUAUUAACGAAAUGAAGUCGAUUUAAAAAGUGGUUUCUUAUAUUUAACUUAUUAUUUCAUAUAAUAUUUUUAACAAUGUAAUUAAAUAAUCAUUCCAAACGCUAGUUUCUAUACUAUUUCAAUUGACGUAUAUCAAUUAAAAUGUAUACGUCUUAUAAUUUUCAUACAACGCUUUCAACAAGAUAAUUAAAUAAACAUUUUAAACAUCACACUACCAGAUAUUCGCUAUUUUUCGACUCAAAAUUUCUGAAUGAAAAAGUAGUCGAAAAUUUCCGACUACUUCUGUCAGAAAUCAUUUUUUUUAAUUAUUUUUUACAAAAUAUUUUUCAAUACUAUUUGUGACAAAAACAAUCAGAAUAUUUGGCGGCAAAUUCUGGAAAAUAUAUAUUCUGACUGUUAUAGUUGGAAAUAUAAAUAAUUAAAUAAAUAUAUAAUCAGUACCAGUGUAUUUUCGACCGCUGUAGUCUAAAAUAUAAAUAAUUAAAUAAAUACAUUAUUAAAUAUAUAUUUCCGAUCACUGUAGUUAGAAAUACUAAUAGCUAAAUAAAUAUAUGACUAAAUAUAUAAUCAUACCAAAUUAAAUAAUUAUUUAAAUAAAUUAUUGCCAAUAUUUUUGCAACCUCUGUAAUCGAAAAAAUAAAUAAUCAAAUAAAUAAAUUAUUAAAUAUAUAUUUUUGACCAUUAUAGUCAGAAAUAUAAAUAAUCAAAUAAAUAAAUUAUUAAAUAUAUAUACUUCUGACCACUGUAGUCGGAAAUAAAUUUUAAUAAAUUAUUACCAAUAUAUUUUUGACCACUAUAGUCGAAAAAAUAAAUAAUCAAAUUAAUGAAUUAUUAAAUAUAUAUUUCCGAUCACUGUAGUCGAAAAUAUAAAUAAUUAAAUAAAUAAAUUAUUAAAUAUAUAUUUCCAACCACUGUAGUCAGAAAUCUAAAUAAUCAAAUAAAUAAAUUAUUAGAUAUAUAUUUUUGACUACUGUAGUCGGAAAUACUAAUAACUAAAUAAAUAUAUGAAUAAAUAUAUAACCAUACCUUUAUUCAUAAAAUUAAUAAUUAAUUAAAUAUAAUAAAAAUAUUUUCAACUAUUGUAGUAAAAAAUAUUAUAAAUGAUUAAAUAUAUUAAAUUUAUUUUCGAUGAAAGUAGUCGGAAUUCUAUAUUUAAUUAUUAAAUAAUAUAUAUAAGAUAUAAAAUAAACAUAUUAACACUUUUCCAUUUCUCUAACUGUUGUCUCUCUCUCUUUCAACCCUAGUUCUCUCUCAAAAAUACAUAAUCAAAACCCUAGUUCACAAUCUCAGAUAGAAAAUACCACAACUCGACGGUUUGAAGGCAGCGGCGACGGCGACUUGGUGAUGACGACGACGGUGAGUUGGUCGUGACGGUGAUGGCGAGUUGGAGGUUUUUUGUCUUUCUUCUAUAUCGGAACCUCUUUUGAUGAAAAAUAUACUAUUUAUUUAUGAUUAAAAUUAUUUUUUUGUAUAUAGUAAGUGUUGAUCCCUCUUCAGCUAAUUUUUCUUCAAAUAUUGAAUCCUUUUAAUUGAAAUUUUGGGUUGAUAAGAAAAUUUAUUUUGUUCUUAGCGUCGUUUCAGUCCUUAGUUAUGCCAUUUAUGAAUUUACUAGAUUGCUUGUUAUAUGUACCGAAGCUGGAGUAAAAUGAGUUGGAUAGAUUAAAAGUAUAAAUUGUCCUAAAUGAUUGUUGUUCUAUUUUACAGGACUUGUCUAAGUAAUAUCUUAGUUUUCAGAUAUUGUUUUCCAUUAGUAAUUCAAUAGCUAGGUUUAUCUGGUGUGUUUACAAAUUGGAUCGUUCUAUUUUUGUGGAAGUUAUAGUCGAUCUUGGUUCUUCUUGUAUGAGUGACCUUGUUUGAGAGUUGUAAGAUGGUAUACUGUUGGUCGUGAAUGUUAUAAAGUUGCUGCAAGUGUUUACUAAGAUAGUGAUAGUAUUUCAAUGGAAAGCCAAUAAAGUUGAUUAUCCACAGUGAAAGAAUAAAAGAGGUUCAACAAAUCAACACUUUUUUGUUCUGGAUGUGCUAUAUUGUCUUGUUGACUUUUUUAGAGUGUAUAUUGUAUGGACGCCAAUUUGUAGAGUGGUGGACUCGUGAACUUGGGGAAGCGAGUUGUUAAUCAGAUUAGCUACGCUGGUGCUGGAACUACUGCUAACUUGCCUUCUCUCUCUUCCAGGUAUACUUUGUGCUUUGCUUUUUCCUUCUACCGUUUUACGUUGGCUAUUCAGUGUUUAUUUUGUAGUUCAUUUGUUUGUAUAGAUGAGCUUAAUGUUAGAUAAGUGUUGGUGUACUUAGUAUAUUUUGCGGUUUUUGGUUGAUUUCAGAGUGGUUUUUGGAUGACUAAUGGUACUACUGCUUUUGCUUGGCUUAGCGAAUUCAUGGUUAAUUAAAAGAUUUUAGAUUGUUUACAAAAUUGUUGUUGAAACACUUUGUACUAAGUGCCAGUGCUGACACAUUCACAAGGGUUAGUAUAAUUUUGAACUUGCUGUGAAGAAUUAGGGAAAAAGUAAGAGUAAACAGAAGAGAAAUGAGAUCUAUAAGAUGCAUCAGAAAAAGUAUCACCUCCACUUCCACUGCUAGUACUACUACCACUUAAAGAGAAAAUAUUAGUGAACCAUGGAGAAGAAGAUUUAGGAGAAGGACUAAAAGCCAAGAAGAAAGUAACAAGAAUGAAAACAAACAUGAAACCAUAUGCACAAGUAACGGUUCUUUUAGUUUUCAGAAAAGAGAAAUGAGUUUUCAGUUCAGUAAUGAGUGUUUUUCCACCAUUAAUAGGUGUAUAUUUUACUGUAUUAGCCAUGUCUUCCUGGCGAGAAAAAUAAUGUAUAGAUCAAAGUGAAUAUCAGCAAUGUAAUGGUGCAUCAGCCAAUCAUCCUUAAGUGAGUUUCAUGUCAGUUAAUUCCCAGAAAGUCAUGCACAAAGUGUAUUCUAUUUAUUCAGAAAAGAGAUAAAGAGUUGGAGCAGUAGCCACUCUUACAUCAUCUUUAAGAGUUUUUUCUUGUUAUUCACUCCUCCAUUGAGGAUAAAUUGAGUUCCUAUAAAAAUGAAAUGGAAUAUAUGUAGUUACCAAGAGGGGGAAAAGAAUAUUGUAAAAGUUAGAAAAUGCAACAAGGUAAAGACCUUUCCAUCAGAAAAAGCAACAAGUAAGCCUUUCUUUCCAAUCUCAUCAAGUUCCUUAAGUUUUUUCGGGAAAGUAGAGUGUAUGCAGAUCCUACCCGGUUGAGAGUUCUUUUUUGAAAUACCUUCGACUCAAGUAACACUUAACGAAUUAAAGGUAUGGUUAAUAAAGUGAUAGUUUCUAUUUUGCUUCAUAUGUUUGUAUCUUGGUGACUAAGAAUGCUUUUUGGAUGAAAAAAUUUAUUCUUAGAGCAACAUACUGUAGUCCGGGCGUUCUAAUGCUAGUAGUCUACUAUGGUUUUGUUGGUGCAUUUGAACUUUAAGUGAGAAGUGUAAAAUUUUAAGUAAAGUACUGCACAGUAGUUUGGCUUAUAUGUUAUAUUAGUUGUAGGGCAAAAAAUAGUAGAAUAGUUGAAAAGUUGGUUUAGUAGAGAAAACAUCACAUUAGACUUGAGUUGUUUUAGUGGUUUAAUGAAUUUGAAUUCCUGAAAGUUGAAUAUAAACUGAAUACUAUCAAGUUUGCUUAUCAUGGAUAUUUACAUGCUAGUCAUAAGCUCCUUUUUCUUAUCAGGAUAAUUAUGUAUGAUUGUCCAUACAGUAGAGUGUAUGUAGAUCUUACCACUACCUCGCGGGUGUAGUGAAGCUGUUUCCGAAGAUUCUCGAUUCAAUUGAAAGAAAUCUAAAUAGUUGUUUUAGACUCUCAAGUUACCUAAAAGAUGACCAAUAGUAAUUGAAGGAAAAGGACAUGAUAUCUACUAUAACGUGUUAAAAUAUAACAUGGACAAGUGCACUAGAAAUGCUAGAAACAAUCCCUGAUGAUCAUGUCAUUCAAAAAUUCAAACUGAGUUUUGACUCAAACUGUGAUUCCCUUAAUUUUUGCUACUUUUCGAAUUCCCUCGUCUUCCUUAACCCCCUCUCUUCCUCAGUCAGUUUCUACCACUUUUGGCUUUGGAUUUCAAUUCACAUCUGGUGGUUCGUUCAUACUUGCAUUAUCUCUUUUUCUAAAAUUUUGCAGGAAUAUGAAAAUGGAAAAAAAUAGCCCACUUUUCUUGAGGUCUACGAAGAGACGCAUAGGAAGAAAAAGAAGGACGGUACAAACUAUGGAAGAAAUGAAAGCGAUGAAAAAGCAAAUUAUGGAAUUGACGUAGCAAUGUGCAGCUAACGAUGCUAAGUUUGCUAAAUUUAAGGAGUUGGUUAAUAAGCACAUGCCUCAAGUAUUUCAUGAUGAGGAAGAUAGUGAAUCUGAUGAUAACUAGAUUGUAGUUAUUGUUCUUGUUUUUUGUUGUGACAUUUAGAGUUUAAUCUAUUUGAUUUGAUGUUUGUUUUGGAUGUUUUGAAGUGGUUGUAUUUAUAAAUUUUUGUCGUGUUUGAUCCUAUUAUGAAAAAUACAUUAGUUAUGUUGUUUAUAAUCUGAGAGCAGUGUAAGCUAAUGCAAGAUUUAAUUAUAUAAUUACUAGGUGAAUAUUUUUAUUGAUUAUUAAAUAAUUAUUUAUUAGCUUUCCGACUACGGUGGUUGAAAUAAUUAUAAUUAUU
rnacentral:lncRNA from 1 species